rnacentral:lncRNA from 1 species
AAAAAAAAGGCCAUUUGGCCUAACAAUCAAUAUCCUUUUGAGCAACUUCGCAUUAGAUGAGCAUUGGCCUCCGAUCUGCCCAACAUCUAAUCUACUAAGGAACUGACAGAGCUUGAGGCAAAGCUUGGUUUGAUGCUGAAAUCGUUUGCAGUCUGCAGUCAACAGAGAUUAAUUGAGCAGAGUUAUCAUUGUUUUCCUCAACAGAAAUCAUGUUGAUUAUUUGUAGCAAAACACGCUCGAGCUCUUCACCAUCACUCCAUUCACGAAUCUCAGCCUUGAUGAGCAAAGGGUUCCUGCAAAUUAAAUCCCAGACUGGAAAAUUCUUCCUUGGCAUCAUAUAGUCUGCUUCUUCAAGCCUUAGACUUGGCCAGUAAUCACCGGCACCAUCUCCAAGGUAGAUGAUUUUUUUUCUUCCCCUCUAAAGAAGCUUGUAUCCUUUCAAUGAUCAUCCCCUGUUACAGAAAGCUGAAGCCAAAAUUAAAAUUGUUGACAUCUUAUUUCAUGAUUGUCAUUAAAUUUAUAUGAUUUGACCCAUGUCAAGAUCUUGUGUUUGUUUACGACCUUAUAUGAGCCAUUACUUUAAUAGAUUAAGUGGGGUCAAGAAAAGAAGUUGAAAUAUCUAAAAUGAAAAUAGAUUUAAAAAAUAAAGAAAUAAAUAAAAACUCCAAGCUAGUUGGACGAAUUUGACUCUGUACACGUGGAAUACCAUCAAGUAAUAAAAUUUUCUAGAAAUUUUCACUUAAUAUGAAAAAUCUAGGUCCUCCUACAAAAGUUUGUUGUCUUGAUUUAAAAUAUUUACAAUUGUGAUAUUAAUGAAAUUAAAUCUCAUGUUAGUGAUGAAAAACAUAUAAUACCUUGCACAUACUUGGGGGGCAGAGGCUGCCAGCCACUGAGAACUCUUGGUGAAAUCAUGGUAAGGAAUGAUCCUCAGCCUCCCUUCUUCGAUCAAACAAAGCCUGGGGUUUGGUGUUGAUCUCUGAGAAAUUUCCCUCAAUCCAAGAUGUCCCAGAAUUGUUCUCAAUGAAGAACAUGAUUGCGAUCACUCACAAUCCUGAGUUCACACCUGAAAAAAAAUAUUCAAACCAAUUUGAUCACCCUUAUAUUUCUAUUGCUUCAAACUGUAUUUUAUAGUCACAGAUCAGAACACCAAGUGGAGAAGCAUAGAAAAAAGGAGUACCCUAAAGAAUGAGCUGAUUUAAUAGCGGGGACGAUCCUAAGAUGGAUAGGAGCUCGUUUCAGAACCUCAGCAAUGUCAUCAAUGGUUUUUCCUUGGGCAUGAAGCUCCUUCAUCAUCCUGUCCUGUAAUUUUAUACCACAAACACUGAGUUUCAUUUUUUAUAAAUGUAAAGCCAACAGAAACAGAAAUUGUAGAGGGCUUGAUAUGGGUUACCAUGAGAGAAUUUCAGGGCAUGGUAGAAAGAAGCUGGUUGAACAAGUCGGUGAAACCCAAGUCAUCGACAACCCAGUUAUCACUAUCACAGUCGAUGAUGGUUUUGUCAAAAUUAAAAACCACAACAAUUGCAUCCAUCUCUCUGGAUGAAAAUCAAACAAAAUGCAAAACAAGAUUGGAAAAACUCAACUACUGUUUGAAUGUUUUCUUGUUGGUAUAGGUCACGUAACAGGCGAGGGGUAUUAUAUGCAAAGAAUAGAUUUUUUUUAUGCCAAAGGAAUAUUAAGUGAAGGGGUUAUUUGGUGCAAGUAGGAAGCACUAAGCAGGCCACAAGAAGCCCUUUUUCCUGCAAGCUUCCUACUCAACACGUACUAAUCUAAUACAACUGCUUGUAAAUUAUUUCUCUGGUAUAAGUAAUAUUAACCGUUUGAUGGAUGACUAUUGACCAUGUGAUCAAUAAUCAAGUUUAGUCAGCGGAUCUGGGGUAAAAGGGUGUGGGUUAAUUAUGAAAGGGAUUAGGUUUAAGGUUUAACGUUUAUCAGACUUCUUUCCAUUGCUCCAUUCGCAUAAUUGUGCCUUUACUAGCCUCCUGUUUUUGCAAAUCAAAUCCAAAACAGGGAAAUUCUUCCUUGUCAUUACAUAGUCCCCAUCUCCCAGAUUCAAACUUGGACAGAAAUCGCCAAGCCCAUCGCCGAGGUAGAUUAUUGUUUUCUUCUCCUCCACGGGCAUGAGAGAGACUUGGAUCCUUCCAAUCACAAUACCCUAUUAAGAAAGAAUUCAAUCAUUAGUCAAUAGGAUGGGAAGAAAAUGAAGAUAACUUAAAAAUAAUUAUAGCAUAAAAUUAUAUAUCUUACAGCUAAUCAUGCUUUGGAUUCAUUACGUUUACUAAACAUUAGAAUUCAGUGGAGGUUGCAUAUGGUAUAGUCGGGUACUCAUGUACUCCUCCAAAGGUUGGAAAAUCAAAAACGUUUUCUUUGGACACCUUCAAAUUUUCUUUUUGAACAUAUCUUUCUUAAUUCCUUAUUCCUUAAUCCUUCACUCACUGCCACUACCUAAUAUCCAAUCACAUCACACUGUCAGUUAAUGCCCAACACCCAAUAAGCAUCCACUAUAUUAAAUGGACACCUCCAUAAAAAAAUUUCUUGCAUCUGCUACUGUUAGAAUUCAGUCAUAUUUGAUGCAUGCAUGCCUGGUUCAUGUUGUUAGUAACUAGUAUGAUUUUCAAGUUAAAAAUGAUAUACCUUGCACAUGUUUGGAGGGCAGGGAGGAUGAAAUCCAUGAGUAGAUUGAGUGAAAUCAUGGUGAGCAAAGAUCCUUAGCGUGCCUUCUUCAUUUACCAAACCUGGGUUGGUAUUGAUCUCUGAAAAGCAUUCCCUCAGGCCAUGAUGCUUCAAAAUUGUGUCGAUGAAGAACACGUUCGCAUCGCAUACAAUCUUCAAACCACACCUGAAAUUAAUAAUGCCAUACGAGUAUUUUUUUCUUUUCUGGCGAGAAAACCAGAAAGAAAAAUUAAAUAUACAUGCCGGCAGGACUGUAGUUGGCAGGAAGGAAACUACUAAAGCUAAGAAAUGUUGCCAGAGAGCUUAUUAAGUGUAUGGUCCUUUAAUUACUUCUUGCGACAGAGGAAUAAUAUCACAGGCUGCAAUCCCUGAGAACGCAACUGUGGCUUCUGCUGUCUCAACAAACGAUUGGACUCAAUAUCUCACUACUUCUCUACAGAUGAAGGAUUUGCGGCAGAUGUUGGCUGGUCUGACCUUCACUAAAGAAGAAGAUGUUGUUUGGCAGGCAGCAAAGUCUGGCAUGUUCAUACUUUCAAAUACAUGGGACUGGAUCAGGGAUAGGCAAUCAACUCUGGUUUGGCAUAAAUUGGUCUGGAAUUCCUCUUCACUCCCUAGACAUAGUUUUAUCACUUGGCUUGAGGUUCUUAAUAUAUUGAGCACACUAGCUAAUAUUAGGAGAUUCUGAGAGGAGCGUGAACAACAAGUAUAAAUAUAUCAAAUAUGCCAUGCGAGGAAUUCUCCAAAACUUGGCGUUUGUUCUUCAAAUAUUGACAAAGUCUUUCCUAGACAUUAGUUUUAAUGUAAAGUUUUGCCUUAUAAAAUUUGUAAAAAAAUAUGAAUAAUCCAUCUAUUAGCUGUCUGUGAAAAAUUGAAGGAUUGUAUAGGAAAUGCUAAAGCUUAUUCUUUGAUUUGUUGACUGGUAGCCUCCUGCUUCUUUGGAUCAAAGAAAUACCAUAUGAAAAAAAAAAAAAAACUAAAUAUAUACGAACACUGAGAAAAAUGUACGCAUAGCCUAAAGCAUGAGCCGAAUUUAAUGGCUUGGAUAAUUCGGGGAUGUAUUGGAAUUGUUUUUAGAACAGCUACAAUGUCAUUUAUGUUUGUUCCUUGUGAAUGAAUUUCUUUCAUCAUUAGAUCCUGCUUUGUACAUAAAAAAAAUAAGCCCUAGUUCUUAUAUUUGGAAAAGAAAGAAGAAGGAAAACAAAUAAAUUAAAAGACUAACAAUAAGAGAGUUCCAAGGCAUGGUAGAGAGGAGUUGAUUGAACAACUAUGUAGCUAGUCUAGGAUUUAUGAAAUCUGAAAUUCAGGUUAGUUGAUUUAUAAAAUUACUCUUAAGAGAUGGUAUUUAACUGUAACUCAAAUUUUAAUAUUUAUAAUCAUUUCUUGUACUCUCAAAUGACCUCCUAAAUAAAUAAAUAAAAAGUCUAUAAUAAGAAAUUAAGUAUGCUUAAUUUGUUUGAAUUUUCAAGUUACUUGAUCCUAAGUUUUAAAAUUUUUAACUUUUUUAAUAUAUGUUCAGAUUUUAAGUUAUAUAAUUAGAGACAAGUAAUUUAUAAUUAUAUUUCACAUAAAAAUCAUUUCUAGUUUAUAAGAUUUAAAUUAAAAUUAAAAUUUUAAAUUCUUUCUAAUAAUUAUGUCAUGUAAAAUCAAAAUAUAUUUAAAUUGAUACUUUAUUCUGAUUCUUAAUGCUUUAUUAUUAAAAUAAUUAAUCUAUAUAAGUAUAUACCAUAUAUAUUCAUAUCCACAAUGCCUUUUUAUAAAAGUGAGAAAAUCCUCAUCGAAGAAGAAUCAAAGCAUGUGCAAAGAAUAUUAUGUAAUACCUAAGUCCAAGUUAUUAUAGCUUAAUUAGUGAUCCAGCCCAUAAGUAUCAUUAGUAAAAAAAAAAAACCUAAAGAAGAAAAAAAAAAAAAAGAAAACUUAUCAACAACUUUUGUCGAUAGUUUUUUUUGAGAAAAAAAAAAAGGGAAAAAUUUUAAGAAAUACUUGGGAUGAAGAAAAGAGGAAGAGAUAAUGCAAAUCAAUUCUAGAAAUCACUUAUUAAGAUAAAAUUUUACUUAAAACUCUUGAAAUUUUUAUGUUUUAUACAAUUUUCUACAAACCCAAAUUAUAUUUUUAUAUCUUUUCAACUUCAAAAAUAUUUCAACGACCUCUUAGUGACAAUCUGACGAAAUUGAAGGUACUAAUGGAAAGUCUCUUUAAAACCUUUCUAAUGGUAUGUGUGGUACUUUGUUUAGUUAAGUAAUUUAAGAGAAUUUAGUGUUUUAAAUUUUUUAUUUUUUGGUUUUUAAUAAUUACAGAUGCCCAAUUUUGACCCAUCGAAACUCUUUACCCUGGUAGCCAAUUUGGUUGAACAUUUUAUGCUUUUGAUAGUACAAAAUGUGAAUUUUCUAUUGGUAUAAUUGGUUUGUUUAGAUUAUUUAUAGGCUAAAAGAAUCGAAACUCCAAAAUAGGCUUCAUGAAUCUAAAACUCAAAAAAUCAGGGCUGUUUAUGAUGAUUUGUCAAGUUUUAACCAUUGAAACUUUGGUUUUUAGAAAUUAGUUUUGCCAAAACAAAAUUUUAUAUUGUAGUAUUACAUCCUUACUUUAAAUUCGCGCUUCAUUUUGUCAUUAGGAACUAUAGAAUGUUCAAGUUUUUGUGACUCAAAUUAAACCAAAUGAUCACAUAAUUUAAAAAUUCUCAUUUUUAAUUAUUUUAAAAAUUAUUUCCAGCCAAUAUUUAAUGUGUUUAGCUAUAAAUUACUUAAAUUUUAGUUAUAGUAUUUUUAAAGAAUUUUUACUUAUUUUAAUAUAUUUUUAUUGUGUUAAUUUUAUAUUAUUAAUAUUGUUAAAAGACUAUUAAAUUAUAUUUAGAUUUACAAAAAAAAAAUGAUUACUAUUAAAUGUUAAAAAUUAAAUAUUUGAAAAAAUUUAUAUUGCUACUGAUUUUUAUGUUUUAAUCCUUAAUUUCAUAUUUAUAGUCCAUUCUAGGUAUUUUGCUAUAUUAAAAUAAAAUUUAUUUUAUAUGCUAAAAGAAAAUAUUUUCAAAUAGUUUCAAAUUAUCGAAAAGUUUGCUACAUAACUCAACUUGCUUAUGAUAACCCAUGAAAGGUUUGCCUCAUUAAAUUUAUGUUUUUGGGUUAAAUUCUGAUUUUUAAAUAUUUCUUGAAUUAUUAGGAUAUCAAGAGAAUUGAGUAAUUCGUUGUUUAAGUUUCAGUUUAGCGCAUCAAGUAAGUGACUUGAUAUCUUUUCGAUUUCUAUGUCCCUAAAAAUCAAUCUCAAUAUAUUUAGAGUUGAAAUAUAUAAUAUAUAUUGUUUUGUCCAUUUGUUUUGUAAAUCAGGUUGAGCAUGUAAAAUGUAUCUAUGAUUUAUUUGUUAUGAAUUUGGAAUAUGGUUUGACAUUGUUUUGAUUUCUGAAUAUGAUUUCAGAAUAAUAUAUUUAUAUAUCCAUCAUUUGUUAGAAUAUAAAAUUUUACUUUGGAAUGAUUAUGGAAAUUACUUUAUAUAGAUUAUAUUUUGAAAAAAUUUAUAAAUAUUGAAUUUGUAUAUGUUGGUAAUCUGAAAACAUAUUAUGGUUUUGUCUCAUAGUAUGGCUAUGUUCUGACCCUAUUAGUGGGGAUUAAUUUUGGCUAUGUUGACAUAUACUUUAUGCUAUUGAUGCCGAUUUUUAACUGUGUCAUUAGUUGAAAAUAGUUAUUUUUAUUCACUGUACCAUCAGUGAUAUACUUAUGUCCCAUUGCAUUAAAGGGGUUACUAUGAUUUUUGUUUUGUCCCAUUACAUUAAUGGGUUAAUUAUAAUUGCCAAUGCAAUGAUUUAGUUGCUUUUGCUAUAUUUUUGUCCCAUUAUACUAAAAAAAAUUUUUGAUUUCGACUUAUGCCACAAGAGUUAGUGUGGUCAUAGUAUUUUACAGGAGACUAAAUAAAUUUAUAAUUUUGUGAUAUUUAAUUACAUUUUGUGAUAUGAGAAUUUGGUUUUGAAAAUAUGUUUGUGAAUACAAGACUACCUAAAAUAUUUUUGAAUCAUUUAGUUAAUGUUUUGUGGCAUACUUAAUUCAAUUGAGGGGAUGUCGAGUACUUGUUGAGACAUCUUACUCAUUUUUUUAUUUUUCUUUACUUUUUCAAAUUUUAGUGUUUGUGUCUUGGGAGAUUGAAUCUUGACAAUUACUUGGAUUAGUAAAAUUAGCAUCUCUCUUUAGAUUGGUAUUCUUUCAAAGUGAGUAUUUUAUUAUUGAUUCUAAAAGAUUUGUUAGCAAGAACUUUAGUAUAUUCAACCAACUUACAAAGAGUAUAAUUUUAUAGACUUGAGAUUCUGUAAAGUAUUAAUUUAGAGAUUAUUGAAGAUUUUAAUUUAGUUUGAUAUCUGUUGCCUUAUAUGCUUGCGAGAUUCAUCUCACGAAUAUGCAUUGUUGGUACAUUCUAAAUCUUUAGGUUUGGGGCUUGACAUAUUGAACAAUUUGCUUAGUACAAUCAGAUAGAGAAGCAUUUCUAAAAAAGAAAUAUAACAUAUAUAGUGUUUAAGAGAAUAAAACUUUCGACAUGUAGGUUUGGUUUUUGUUUUAAUAAUUAUAUUUAUUUAUGCUACAAUCAAGUACAUGCAAAAAGUGAGAUAUAUUAGUCUAAAAUUUAAUUCAACUAAUUUAUAAAAAUUUUUUAAAAAAAUAAUAUUUAAUUAAAAUUUAAAUCUCAAUACUUGUAUUUUCUUCUUUUAUUCCAAAUAACUUCUUUUAAAAGGAAAAAAUGAGUCAUGUGGAAUUCUUUUGUUGACUUUUUAUGUUUGUUAAUCUACCUCUGGUCCAACUUUUCUAUAGUACACGAUUAAUUUAAUAACCAUUGUACCGCUUAAAUAAUCUUAACCUCACAAUUAAAGAGGUAAAACUUCUCCAUUGAUAAAAACUUACUUAAGUACCUUCUUGGUCAUGAAAACAGCAAUCCCCAUAUUGAAAUGUUAAUCAUGAAAUUAAAUCAUUAAUCCUACUGCAUAAUUUGUCCGAUAUGAAAAAAUCUGAUUGGAACAUAUAUCUAAAUUUGAAUAUAUAUGCAAAAACAAUAGACAGAUGAUUUUUAAAUGAUGUUAAAAUUUAUGAAAUUUAAAAUUUAACGCUAUUAAUUUAUGUAUGUAGUUGUUUUUGGAUAUAGUAUUUAAUAAAUUUGAUAUUCAAAUCUUAAUAUUUUUUUUCAUUUCAAAGUUAUGAUCUUCUUUCAUAACAAGAAAAAAAAAACUAUAAAUGAUUUUUUAUCUGUAACUUUAAACUGAUGAAUUUAAAUUGCUAAGACUUUGCAGUCAUAUUUUCAUUGGCAAAGUUGAUUUACAUUUAUUUCAAAAGUAGAGAAAAAAAGGCCAUUUGGCCUACCAAUCAAUAUCAUAUUGAGCAACUUCGCAAUAGAUGAGCAUUGGCCUCCGAUCUGCCCAAAAACUAAUUUAUUGAGGAACUGGCAAAGCUUGAGGCAAGGCCUGGUUUGAUGCUGAAAUCGUUUGCAAUUUGCAGUCAACAGAGAUUAGUUGAGCAGAAUUAUCCUUGUUUUCCUCAACAGAAAUCAUGUUGAUUAUUUGUAGCAAAACACGCUCGAGCCCUUCACCAUCACUCCAUUCAUGAAUCUCCGCCUUGAUGAGCAAAGGGUUCCUGCAAAUUAAAUCCCAGACUGGAAAAUUCUUCCUGGGCAUCAUAUAGUCUGCUUUUCCAAGCCUUAGACUUGGGCAGUAAUCACCGGUACCAUCUCCAAGGUAGAUGAUUUUUUUCUUCCCCUCUAAAGAAGCUUGAAUCCUUUCAAUGAUCAUCCCCUGUUACACAAAGCAGAAGCCAAAAUUAAAAUUGUUGACAUCUUAUUUCAUGAUUGUCAUUAAAUUUAUUUGAUUGUUGACCCAUGUAAAGAUCUUGGGUUUGUUUAUGACCUUACUUGAGCCAUUACUUUAAUAGAUUAAGUGGGGUCAAGAAAAGAAGUUGACAUAUCUAAAAUGAAAAUAGAUUUAAAAAAUAAAGAGAUAAAUAAAAACUCCAAGCAAGUUGGACGAAUUUGACUCUGUACAUGUGGAAUACCAUCAACUAAUAAAAUUUUCUAGAAAUUUUCACUUAAUAUGAAAAAUCUAGGUCUUCCUACAAAAGUUUGGUGUCUUGAUUUAAAAUAUUUACAAUUGUGAUAUUCAUGAAAUUAAAUCUCAUGUUACUGAUGAAAAGCAUAUGAUACCUUGCACAUAUUUGGGGGGCAGAGGUUGCAGCCAUGAGAACUCUUGGUGAAAUCAUGGUAAGGAAUGAUCCUCAGCCUCCCUUCUUCAUCAACAAAGCCGGGGUUGGUGUUGAUCUCUGAGAAAUAUUCCCUCAAUCCAAGAUGCUCCAGCAUUGUCUCAACGAAGAACAUGUUUGCAUCACUCACAAUCCUGAGUUCACACCUGAAAAAAUAUUCAAACCAAUUUGAUCACCCUAUAUUUCUAUUGCUUCAAACUGUAGUUUUGAUAGUCACAGGUCAAACACCAAGAGGAGAAGCAUAGAAAAAAAGGAGUACCCUAAAGAAUGAGCUGAUUUAAUAGCGGGGACGAUCCUAGGAUGGAUAGGCGCUCGUUUCAGAACCUCAGCAAUGUCAUCAAUGGUUUUUUCUUGGGCAUGAAGCUCCUUCAUCAUCCUGUCCUGCAAUUUUAUACCACAAACACUGAGUUUCAAUUUUUAUGAAUGUAAAGCCAACAGAAAGAGAAAUUGCAGAGGGCUUAAUAUGGGUUACCAUGAGAGAAUUCCAGGGCAUGGUAGGAAGAAGCUGGUUGAACAAGUCGGUGAAACCCAAGUCAUCGACAACCCAGUUAUCACUAUCACAGUCGAUAAUGGUUUUGUCAAAAUCAAAAACCACAACAGUUCCAGCCAUCUCUCUGAAUGAAAAUCAAACAAAAUACAAAACAAGAUUGGAAAAACUCAGCAACUCUUUGAAUGUUUUCUUGUUGGUAUAGCAACGUAACAGGGGAUGGGUAUUUAUAUGCAAACAAUGGAUUUUAUUUUAUGCCAAAGGAAUAUUACGUGAAGGGGUUAUUAGGCGUAAGUAGGAAGCAAUAAGCAGGACACAAGAAGCCCUUUUUCCUGCAAGCUUCCUACGCAACACAUACUAAUCUGAUACAACUGCUUGUAAAUUAUUACUCCGGUAUAAGCAAUAUUAACCGUUUGAUGGAUGACUUUUGAACCAUGUGAUUAAUCAAGUUGAGUCAGCGGAUCAGGGGUAAAAAGGUGUAGGUUAAUUAUGAAAGGGAUUAGGUUUAAGGCUUAAGGUUUAUCUAACUCCUCUCCAUUGCUCCAUUCGCAUAAUGGUGCCUUUACUAGCCUCCUGUUUUUUUGCAAAUCAACUCCCAAACUGGGAAAUUCUUCCUUGUCAUUACAUAGUCCCCAUCUCCCUUCUUCAAACUUGGACAGAAAUCGCCAAGCGCAUCACCGAGGUAGAUUAUUGUUUUCUUCUCCUCCACGGGCAUGGGAGAGACUGGUAUCCUUCCAAUCAUAACACCCUAUUAAGAAAGAAUUCAAUCAUUAGUCAAUAGGAUGGGAAGAAAACGAAGAUAAGUUAAAAAUAAUUAUAGCAUAAAAUUAUAUAUCUUACAGCUAAUCAUGCUUUGGAUUCAUUACGUUUACUAAACAUUAGAAUUCAGUGGCGGAUGCAUAUGGUAUAGUCGGGUAUUCAUGUACACCUCCAAAGGUUGGAAAAUAAAAAAUGUUUUCUUUGGACACCUUAAAGUUUUCUUUUUGAACAUAUCUUUCUUAAUUCCUUAUUCUUUAAUCCUUCACUCACUGCCACUAUCUAAUAUCCAAUCACAUCUCACAGUUAGUUAAUACCCAACACACCUCCAUAAAAAAAAUCUUGCAUCCGCUGCUGUUAGAAUUCAGUAAUAUUUCACGCAUGAAUGCAUGAUUCAUGUUAAAAAUGAUAUACCUUGCACAUGUUUGGAGGGCAGAGAUGAUGAAAUCCAUGAGUAGAUUGAGUGAAAUCAUGGUGAGGCAAGAUCCAUAGCCUGCCUUCUUCAUUUACCAAACCUGGGUUGGUAUUGAUCUCUGAAAAGCAUUCCCUCAGGCCAUGAUGCUUCAAAAUUGUGUCGAUGAAGAACACGUUCGCAUAACAUACAAUCUUCAAAUCUCACCUGAAAUUAAUAAUGCCAUACGAGUUUUUUUUUUUUUUUUUUUUUUCUAGCGAGAAAACCAGAAAGAAACUUUAAAUAUACAUGCCGGCAGGAUUGUAGUUGGCAAGAAGGAAACUCCUAAAGCUAAGAAAUGUUGCCAGAGAGCUUAUAAAGUGUAUGGUCUUGGGACGGAGGAAUAAUAUCACAGGCUGCAAUCCCUGAGAAUGCAACUGUGGCAUCUGCUCUCUCUACAAACGAUUGGAUUCAAUAUCUCACUUCUUCUCUACUGAUGAGGGAUAUGCAGCGGAUGUUGGCUGGUCUGACCUUUACUGAACAAGAAGAUGUUGUUUGGCAGGCAUCAAAGUUUAGCAAGUUCAUACUUUCAAAUACAUGGGACUGGAUCAGGGAUAGGGAACCCACUGUGGUUUGGCAUAAACUGGUCUGGAUUCUUCUUCACUCACCAAACAUAGUUUUAUCACUUGGCUUAAGGUUCUUAGUAGAUGAGCAAAGUAACUAAUAUUAGGAGUUGAAGUACUCAAAUGUCACUAGGGAUCAUCUUUUCCAUUCUUGUGACUUCUCAAAGCAAGUUUGGCAAUUAGUUUUAGCAAAAGUGAAGUGUGUUUUUUAUUGCAAUAUCCAAAAAUGACAGCAGGAGCUCGAUUGGAUUAUUAUAGGUGAAACUUUUAAGACUGAUUCUGAGAGGAGUGUGAACAAGUAUAAAUAUAUCACAUAUGGCAUGCGAGGAAUUCUCCAAAACUUGGUAUUUGUUCUCUAAACAUUGACAAAUACUUUGCUAGACAUUAGUUUUAAUGUAAAGUUUUGCCUCUUAAAAUUUGUAAAAAAUAUGAUUAAUCCAUCUAUUAGCUCUGUAUGUAAAAAUUGAGGGCCGGGGUUGUAUAGGAAAUGCUAAAGCUCAUUGUUUGAUUUGUUGACUGGUGGCCUCCUACUUCUUUGGAUCAAUGAAAUACCAUUUAUGAAACAAAAAAAAAAAAAAAACUAAAUAUACACGAACAGAGAGAAAAAUGUAUGCAUAGCCCAAAGUAUGAGCCGAUUUAAUGGCUUUGAUGAUUCAGGGAUGCAUCGCAGUUGUUUCUAGAACAGCUACAAUGUCAUCAAUUUUUUUUCCUUAUGAAUGAAGUUUUUUCAUCAUUAGAUCCUGUUUUGUAAAUAAAAAAAUAAACCCUGGUUCUUACAUUUGGAAAAGAAGGAAAAAGAAAAAACAUAAAUUAAAAGACUAACCAUAAGAGAGUUCCAAGGCAUGUAAGGAGGAGUUGAUUGAACAACUAUGUAGCACGUCUGAGAUCUAUGAAAUUUGGAAUUCAAGUUAAUUGAUUUAUGAAAUUAUCUUUAAGAGUGGCAUCCAAAGACUUAAAUUUCAACAUUUACAACCAUUUCUCAUAUUCUCAAACGGCUUCCCUAAUAAAAAAAAAUAGUAUAUAAUAAGAAAUUAAUUAUGUUUAAUUUGUUUGAAUUGUCAAGUUACUUUAUCCUAAGUUUUAAAAUUUUUAACUUUUUUUAAAUAUGUUCAGAUUUUAAGUUACAUAAUCAGAAACAAAUAAUUAUAAUCAUAUUUCAUAUAAAAAUCAUUUCUAGUUUAUAAGAUUUAAAUUUAAAUUAUAAUUUCAAGUUCUUUCUAAUAAUUAGAUCAUGCAAAAUCAAGAUAUAUUUAAAUUUGUGCUUUAUUCUGAUUCUUAAUCUCUUUAUUAUGAGAAUAAUUACUCUAUAUAAGUAUCUACAUAUAUAUUCGUAUCCACAAUGUGUAUUUAUAAAAGUGAGAAAAAUUCUCAUCAAGAAGAAUCAAAGCAUGUAAGGAAUAUUGAACCUUGGAAUCUGCCUAGUACAAGCAGAUAGAGAAACAUUUCUACAAAAGCUGUAUAACAUGAAUGGGGUUUAAAAGAAUAAAAUGUUAGAAAAAUAAAUUAAAUAGGUUCUAUUUUUGUUUUAAUAAUUAUAUUUAUUUACGCUAUAAUCAAGUACGUGCAAAAUGUUAGUUUAAAAUUUAAUUCAGUUAAUUUAUAAAAUUAUUUUUUAAAAAUAGCAUUCAAUUAAGAUUUAAAUUUCAAUACAUGUAUUCUCUUCUUUUAUUCCAUGUAAUCUUUUGUAAUAAAAAAUUGAGUCAUGUGAAGUUUUUUUGUUAAUUUUUUAUUAUUUGUUAAUCUACCUAUUCCACACACUAUAUUACUAAUUUAAUAACCACCACUCCGCUUAAUUAAUUUUAACCUUGCAAUUAAAGAGGUAAAACUUUUCCAUUGAUAGGAACUUACUCAAGUAACUUCUUGGUCAUGGAAAUAGCAAUCUCCAUAUUGAAAUGUAAAUCAUGAAAUUAAAUCAUUAAUCCUACUACAUAAUUCAUCCAAUAGAAACUAAUCUAAUUGGAAAAUAUAUCUAAAUUUGAGUAUACGUGCAAAAACAAUAGGCGGACGAUCCUUAAGUGAUGAAAAAUUAAGGUAAUUUGAAACUAAACUUUGGUAGUUCAUGUAUAUAGUUGUUUUAGGAGAAGGUAUUCAAUAAGUUUAAGGUUUAAAUCUCAACACUUUCUUUCAUUUCAAAAUUAUGAUCUCUUUUGUAACAAAAAAAAAUAGAAAUAAUCUUUUAUUUGUAACUUUAAACUGGUGAAUUUAAAUAAUAAUAAAAAAAAAAAACAACAAAAGGAAGUUCAUUUUCUCCUCAAACAAAAUAAUUUGAAAGAGCUGUCAGAUAUAUGGAAAGGUAUGAGUCAGUCUAGACAAUUAGCCUUUUGUGAAAAAUAUGGUCAUAUUACAUAUCUCCUUUCAGAGGUAGUUGAACAUUCUUUCAUUAGAGCAACGGUGCAAUUAUGUGAUCCUUUAUAUAGAUACUUCAUCUUCAAUAAAGUUGACAAGACACCGAUUAUAGAGAAGUAAUUUACAUUGCUGGGUAUGCAUCUCCAAUCACUAAAUAAGAUAUAUGUUAGGAGGCAGAAAUCAACAUUUCGUAAGAAAAUCAUAGAUAUCAUGGAGUUCAAAAGGAAGAUGUAAAUGUACAAGUUUAAGAAAGAAAUGACUAUAUUUGUUUUCCUUGAGAGUUUUUUCGUAAUUUCAUCACAAAGCAUCUAAAUGAUGAUUAAGGGUCAGAUAUAUUUGCUCUGGCCAUAUAUGGCAUGGUAAUCUUUCCUAGAAUUUUAGGUCAUAUUGAGAUAGAAGUGAUUGAUUUUUUCUAGCAUGUGAAAAAAGGUUGCAAUCCCUCUUCUGCAAUCUUAGUUGAAACAAUUAAAUCCCUAAACUAUUAUCAUCAAAAAGGUAAAAGGUGUUUCAUUGGAUGCUUGCCAUUAUUAUAUUUGUGGAUGAAAAGUCACUUUAAGUGUAAGAAGAAUGCAUUUUCCAAACUCUACUUUCGUAGAGCCUCAAUUAAGCAAUUUUGUGAAAAUGAAUGGCCAAAGCCCAAACCUAAGGAGGAAUGGAUGGUCCUGCUACAAGGUCUUAUUUGCACUCAAGUGAAAUGGUUAGUUCCAUGAAUGGAUCAUGAACUAAUGUUAUAUCAAUGUAGACAUGAGAUAGGGGUCCCACUUCUAGGUUUAUAUGGAGCAACAAGUUAUGCACUGCCUACGAUUCAAAGGCAGUUUAGGGCUGAAUAGUUCAUUCCUAUGACAUACAAACUCACUCAAUCAAAUUUUCUACAUAGUGAGUCAAAAAUACUGCAAAAAGUGGAUAAUGUGAUCAAGACAUGGAUGAAGCCCAAAAGAGUGAGUCCUUCGUCAGUUAUUGAUAAAGUCACUUAUAAGUAUUUGGUGUAGAAAGCCAAGAGGGGCAAGGAGGUUAUGUUUACACUCAAAUAUUAUUGCCAGCCAAUGAAUUAAGAGUUGGAUAAGAUAUUCUCAGAGUUAGAGUUCGCAAGGAAAGAAUUUGAAGCUAAGAAAGAUAAGAUAAAGAAGAGAUUCAAAGGUUUUAAGAAAAAAGAAAGCAAUGGAAAGACAAGGCAAAAAAGCUAGAAGUUAGAGUCCACAAGAUUUCCAACGAGCGUGAUACAAUAGUUAAUAAUUUGGCCAAAGUUUAUUGACAACAUAAAAAGUUAAAAGCUGAAAGUAAAGCCCAAAAGGUUGUUAAAGAGCACGACAAUGUCCUUAAAGAGAUGAUAGAGCUGUGUCAAAAACAAAGAUUACGUAUCCAAGUGAAGGCCAAAGAAAUAAAUAUCAUUUAUUUGACUUUUGAGAAUGAAAAGUUGAAUAGAAAAUAUUCCCAAAUGGAGGAUAAUUUUGUUAAAACCCAAAAAUGAGAUUGAGAUGCUUAGAAGGUAUAUUUAGACAUUGAAGUAAAAGUUGAAAGAAUAAAGAGUUCACAUCAUGAUACUCACAAAAGAGCAUAGAGAGCUAUCUUAUCAAGUAUGAUUUGACAAAAAAAAAGUUUGAGAAGGUAAAAGUACAUAGAGUACUAUGCAACCCAAAUAAGUAAGGUAGUGAUCAAGGUAGAAAAAAUGGUUGAAAAGGCUAAGGCAUUGAGAAUAUUGGUUACACUAAUAAAAAAACAUGGACAAUGUUUAUUAAAUUUCAUUGAAGAGGCUAAGGAUCAGUAUAAAUGGGUUAAAUGUUUUUACAAGUAGAAAAUAAUAGACUCAAUGUAAAACAGACUUUAGUGGAAUAAAUGAAAAUUCACUUGUGUUAAAAAUUUUUAAAGAGGCAAAUAUUUUCUUUGUUUCUUUUUCAUACAUUGCAUUCAUUCAUACAUAAUUAAACUUUUAAUCAUGAUAGUCCAUAUAAGACCACUAAUUUAAGGUUAUGGUAUACAAAUUCAAGGAUACAUCAAACACCAGUACAAAACUCCGGCUCAAGCUAGAAGAAUUGAACAAGACAAUGCAAGUCAUGUUGAGAAAUUGGAAAAAGCUCAAGAGAAAAUCAAGGGAAAAUUGAGCAAAAUCUUUGAAGCUUUGAGUAAGUUGAAUAAAAAAAAUAUAAUAUAAGAAAAUGAUUCACGUGAAGUUAUUAAUCUUUUGUAUCCUUCGAGUUAUGACCUGUACCAGGCUUAAUCUACUCAAAGCUUUCUACCAUAAUAGCUCACAUUUCAUACAAGUUAUAUUUAUUUGGGAAUGCCACCUGUACUGAUACCAAAGUAUCUGCACAUCAUAUAACUUGAGCUAAGACUAAGGUAGACUUAUCAAAAAAUAAGAUAGACCUAUUUUUGGUUCAAAUUCAUUAAGUAAAUACAAAAAUAAGAUGGGCUAGACUAAGGAGAUUAUAUUCACACUAGCUAAAGAAGAAAAGCAUGAAUAUGGAUGAGAUUAUGGUCAGAUUCAUUAUUAUGUAAUCUAUAACAAUAAAUGAGUUCACAUGCAAAUUCUUUGAUUUUAGGCAUGAUUUUAGCAAUACAAUAUAAAAGUUUUCAUGCUUGGAAGGAUGUUUCUAGCCUAAAUAUUUUCUAUUAUUCUUUGGUAGAAAGCAGAAUAGAGUUUUUUUUAUCCUUAAGCAAUCUUUUAUAUUAUUUUUUAAGUUUUAUAUCUUUUAAGUGGAUUUCCUAGAGUGGUAAACUUUUAUUGUUCUAUAUCCUUGAUUAGAAUUUUUAGGGUGGUGUUUUUAUUUCUCUUAAUUUCUAGUUUUGGUGAUGAACUUUUAUCUAUUUUAAUCCAAUAAUCAUAUUCUAUCAUUAUUCAAAUCCUUGUGAGUUAUUUUCUUUAUGAGUUUUUUAUUUACAAUUAAUUUCAUAUUUUAAACAUCAAUUCUCGGCAUCAAAUUUAUAUCAGAGCUAUGGCAAGUCAUUCUCAUCAAGCACCAACAGAAGAGGUUAAAGCCAACACUGACGUUACAGUAAUUACCAAUGUUGACCUAAAUGAUGCCCUCAUAAAAGAGAUGUGGUAACAGAUCCUUCGACUACAACAUCAGUUAUAUAUACAAAAAGAGAAAAAGAGAAGAUAAGGAGGUAACGAAAGAGAAACGAAGAAGAUAAAAGAAAAACCAAUUCAUACCUUGGAAAUAACAAUGAUCUGAUGAUAACACAAUAUCUCACCUAUAGUAAGUUAGAGACUAUCUAAGCAGAAACUAAUUUCAACUUAAUAUAUUCAAUCUAAUUAUAAAGAUUCCUGAGUUCGAAGGGAAAAUGCAACCUAAAGAAUUCUUGGAUUAGCUAUACACAGUGGAACACAUAUUUGAAUACCAUGAUACCUUUAAAUUUCGUAAGGUGAAGCUAGUGGCCAUCAAACUUAGAAAGCAUACAUCCUUUUAAUGGAAAAUAUGAAGAACCAAAAAGAAAGAGAAGGCAAGAGAAAAAUUAUAAUUUAGGAGAAGAUGAAAAAGAGUUGAUGAGAAAGUAUCUCUCAGAUAACUUUUGACAAGAUGUCUUUCUUAAGCUCUAUAACUUAAAGCAAAGAGAUCUGUUAGAGGAAGAGUAUAUAGCUGAGUUUGAUCAUCUCAUAUUAAAAUACGAAUUGGUAGAACAAAAGGAGCAAACUAUUAUUUGGUAUCUUGAAAUAUUAAAGAUUCAGAUAGCUAAUGUGGUGUAGCUACAACCCUAUUGAAUUUUUAAUGGUGAGCUUACCCUUAAGGUGAAGAGAUAACAAAAGGAGGCCUGUGGUAGCAAGAUAAGAUUUGGGUCUCGAUAAGGCAAGACUUUUUUAAUGCACAAACCAAAAGAUGUUUUAAAUGUCAAGGGUUUGGACAUAUUGUCUCAAAAUGCCCAAGAGAAAGAUUAUGACUUUAGUAGAGGAAAACUUAGAAAAAAAAAGAAAAAGAGCUGGCUAAAAGGAUCAAAACCUUGAAGACGAGAAAGAGGUAGCCUAUGGUGAAUGUGAAGCAUCAUUAGUCAUACAAUUCAGCUUGAGUACCACACCUACUAAGAAAGAAGAUUGGUUGUGUAAAAACAUAUUCCACAUUCGAUGUACUAUUUAUGAGAAGGUAUGUGAUGUUAUAAUUGAUAGUGAAAAUUUUAAAAAUAUUGUUUCUACCUUUAUGGUGUAGAAAUUAAGCCUCAAAAUAGUGGAUCACCUCUAACCAUAUAAGCUGUCUUGUUUGUAAAAAAAGAAUAAAAUCAAGAUUAGCAAGAGGUGUUUGGUUUUUUUUUCCAUAAAAAAGUAAUACAAGGAUGAAGCGUGGUGUGAUGUAACUUUAAUAGAUGCCUGCCAUUUACUACUUCAAAGAUUUUGGCAUUAUGAUAGGAAGGUUAUUUAUGAUGGUUACUGCACCAGUUACACAUUUGUGAAAUAUGGAUACAAAAUCAUUGUAGGCCCUACCAAGCCCAUGGUGAUGUCAAAACCAACCAAAGGUGAAGGAAACAGCUUGUUUACCAAGGCUAAUUAUAAAAAAAAAAAAAAAAUUAAGAUGGGCGAUGCUUUAUAUGCACUAGUGUUGAUUGAGGGGAAUAAAGAUAAUAAGGAGCCCCCUAUAGUGAUAUAACCAUUAUUCGUAGAAUUUCAAGAUAUUGUUCAAGAAAAGUUAUUAGUUGGUUUACCACCAAUAAGGGACAUUCAACAGUGCAUAGACCUUAUCCUAAGAGCUAUUUUACCCAACAAGGUAAAAAUUUUCUUGAGGAGUUAUGUGAGAAAAAAACUAAAAUAAUGGAAAUUUAUUUUACUACAGCUGGAAUUUACCUACAAUCAUUCACUAAGUCAAACUAUUGAUUGCAGCCCUUUUAAAAUUACUCUUGUUAAGAAUGCAAUCUGUCCUUUGAUUUUAAAUCAACGUUAUACUAAUCAGCAUUUUGAUGAAGAUGUAGAAGAAAGAGCCAAGAGUAUCAAAAUAUUUCAUGAACAGGUUUAGAAUAGAAUUUUGUAGAAAAAUGAGAAAUAUAAAAGGGUAAUAAUUAUGCAUCAAAGACAUGUGAAGUUCAAAAAACAUGACUUGGUGUAGAUUAACUUGCAAAAAGAGAGAUUUUCUCUAAGAAAGUUUGGCAAAUUACAACCUAAAGCAAAUGGUCCAUUUAGAGUUCUACAAUGCAUUGCUACAAGAUAGAGCUCUCCAACACUUAUGGAGUAUCUUUCACUUUCAAUGUUACUAAUUUGUCACCCUACUAUGGCGAGAAUACUAGUUCAGACUUGAAGAUAAGUCUUUUUCAACUAGAAAAGAUUGACACUAGAAUGUCUGUAGAUCAUACAACUUGGGCUGAGACUAAGGCAAGCUUAUCUAAAAAUAACAUGGGCUUAUCCUUAGUCCAAAUCCACUAAGUAAAUGUAGAAAUAAUGUAGGUUGGACUAGAAAUAUUGUGUUUACACUAGCUAGAGAAAAAGAGUAUGAAUAUGGAUAGGAUUAGGUUCAGAUUCAUUAUUAUGUAAUAUGCAAGAGUAAAUGAGUUCACAUGUAAAUUUCUUGAUUUUAUACACGAUUCUAGUAAUACAAUCUGAAAGUUUUCAUAUUUGGAGGGAUGUUCCUAGCCUAUAUAUUUUUUAUUAUUCUUUGGUAAAAAGCAUAAUAAAGUUUUCUUUAUCCUUAAGCAAUUUUUUAAAUUGUUCUUCAAGUUCUGUAUCUCGUAGGUAGAUUUCUUAGAGUGGUAAACUUCUAUUGUUUUAUAUUCUUGAUUAGAAUUCUUAAGGUGGUGUUUCUAUAUCCCUUAGUUUCUAGUCUUAGUGGUGAAAUCCCUUUUAAUCCAAUAAUCAUAUUAUAUCAUUAUUCAAAUCCUUGUGAGUUAUUUUUUUGUAAGUUUUUGUGUUUGUAGUUAAUCUCCAUAUCUCAAACAUCAAUUCUCAGCAUCAUGCACCUAGCCAAGAGAAUAUCCAAAGUUAUAUCAAUCCUGCCUUCACUUAAAAGGUAGUUGAACCGGUUUAAGUUCUCAAUUUGAAUGAUCCAAAAGAGAAAUUAAAAUUAAAGAUGACUAAGUCUUUGAAGGACUCUAAAGUUGAUUAAAUGAUGAACAUGCUCGAUGAGAGAUUGCAAGCUGUGAAAAGUAUUGAUUUUUAAUGUACCAGAGUUUAAAAAAUGGCAGUUUACGCUAGUAAUGAGAAAUUACUCAUGUAUGUAUUCCAAGAUAAUUUAACUGGUUUUGUUGCAAAGUGAUAUGUCAAGUUAGACAAAACUCGUACCCGAUCAUGAAAGGAUCUAACUCACUUUUUCAUCAACCAAUACUACCAUAUCAUAGAUAUGACUUUCGAUUGCCUUUCCUUACAAAAUAUGGAAAAAAAAUGAUUGAGUUUAAAGAAUUUACCUCAAAUAUGGCAAGAUAUAACUAUUCAGAUCCAACUAUCUUUAACUAAGAAAGAGACAACGACUCUAUUUUUGAACACUUUGAAGUUAUCUUAUUAUGAAAAGAUGAUAGGGAGCAUGACUAAAAAUUUUGUUGAUAUGGUGAUCUUAUGCAAGAUCAUUGAAAAUGCAAUUAAGAAAGAGACAACGACUCUAUUUUUGAACACUUUGAAGUUAUCUUAUUAUGAAAAGAUGAUAGGGAGCAUGACUAAAAAUUUUGUUGAUAUGGUGAUCUUAUGCAAGAUCAUUGAAAAUGCAAUUAAGAAUGGUAAGGUUGAAAUAGGAGAGUCAUCGUGGCCAAGAAGAUGCCCAAAAAAAAGAAAGUGAAACUCAAACUAUGAGUUUCGAAGAGUAAUAAUUUAGAAAUUAUACUCAUUACCCAUAACUUAUUUACCUUACAUACUAUUCUACCAAAAAUAAUGCUUCAACUUUUUCAUACCAACUAGUUUCACAACUUUCUUAUAUACACCUAUCAACCAGUAUUCAGACCACCCACCAACGCAUACAACCGUAAUACCCUCUUACUGUAAGGCCCUCUAUGUGCCCAUCCAAUCCAAUAAGUGGUCCAAGAAAACCACGAAAUAAUCGAGAGAAGCCUAUUUUCAACCCCAUUCCCAUGAUUUAUACAAAAUUGUAUCGAAAACUCUACAACAAUCAUUUGAUUGCUCUUCUCUAUAUAAAACUACUUAAAAACCCUUUUAUUUUAAAUGGUAUGAUCCCGCUACUCAUUAUGAUUACCAUUAUGAAAUCAUAGGUCAUUCCACUAAAAAUUACACUACUUUGAAAUAUAAGAUGCAAAAUUUAAUCAAAGAUAGGCUGAUUAAAUUUGACACUAUUGAAAAUAACAUUCAAUGUCAAUGGUAAUCUAUUACCCAAUCACACCGUAAAUGUUUUAAAUGAGGACAAGGGACGUUGUAUGAAAAAGAGAGUAGAAGAGAUUAAAAUUCUAUUUAGUAAAUUGUAUGAUACUCUAUACGAGGUUGGGAUGGUACAAUCAAUGGACCUACACACCUACCGUAAGAGAUGUAUCUUAAAUCAAAGGUGUAAGUGCCAUAAUGAGGCUUCGGGCCAUUUUAUUGGGACUUGCAAUCAAUUUUAGGAAGACGUAUAGAAGUUAAUGGAUUCCUAUCAAAUUGAGCUAUAUAAGAAAGGAGAAGCCUCAAGAAGUACUAAGGUGUCUAUGACUAAUAAGUCAAAGUGGGUACCAAAGUCAAUAACUAUUUAUUAUGGCAAAAGGCCAAAAUUAAUUAUAGACAAGCUUGUCCCUAAGUUGGUGACCUUCAAAGUCCAAAGCCCGUUCAAAUAUAAGGAUGAGAAGGCUAUACCGUAGAGAUAUGACUGUGAAGUGACAAUUAAAGAACAAGAUAAGACCAUGCCCAAGCUAGACGUCACCAACAUAAUUGGUAUAGGUGAUAUAACUAGAAGUAAUACCCCAGCCCAAAUAAUAAUUGGGCUAGAAAAAUACUAAAGCCCAUCAUUUUAUUAACACAUUAUUUAGUAAAAGAAAAAUAGCUAAACUAUUAGAUGAAAAAAAAAACUUAAUUAUCGUGAAACAGAAAGGAAAUAGAGUUUUUCUUCCCCAUCUUCCUUAGGGUUAGAGAAUACGAAAAAUCAAGUUGGAGAUUCACAAUCAGAGGCUACAAUCAAGUUAAUCCUUUAAAGGUGAGUACAUACCCUCUUUUUAUUUGAAAAAAAUAUCAAAUUGAUUGCUAUUAUUUGGAGUUGAAGUUUUGAGAGGAAAAUCAAGAAAAAUCAUGAAAUCCUUCAUUAAUCUUGAUGAUCUAUUUGGGUAAAUUACUGGGCUUUGUUUAUUUCAUGUUUUUAAGAUUUAUUAAUGAUUAUUGAAUGGAGUUUGAAGGCUGAAAGUAAGGAUUUGAGUUUUUAAAGAUUGAAGGAGAAAUUCUAUUUUUGGGAGAGAUGUUGUGAUCUGUAAUAAUGAACUAAAAUAGAAUUUUGUAUUAAUGGAUAGAUUAUUGCUAUGAUUAUUAUAUAUCAUUGGAAAGCAUGUUGAAUCUAGUUUCUAAUGAAAUAAACGAAAGUCAAAUCUGAGUUUUCUAUGAAGAGUUGUCUAAUUUUAACUUAAAGAUAUGCAGGUUGUAAGACAACAGCAUCAGGGUCGAAUUACGAAAUUCUUCUUAAUUUGUAUACAAGGAUUUAUAGAUUAAGCCAUAUGUGUUUGGAAAGCUUAUUGAGUCUGUUUUCCAAUGAAACAAGCGGAAUUGAAUUUGGAGUUUCCUGUGAAUAAAUAUAUAGUUUUUAUUAGAAGGUAUACAGGCUGUUUGAGAGCAGUAUAUGACGUGAAUUUCAAAAAUUGUUAUAAUUAAUCUGCAAGGAAUUAUGAGGUGUACCAUAUAUGGUUAGAAAGCUUAUCCAGUCUAGUUUCUAACACAUUAAAUAGAUCAUAAUUUCGAUUUUGAUAUAUUGAGAUAUGACUGUUUUAAUGAAAAGAGGUCAGGCUACCAGUAUUAAUUAGUUAAGUUAACCCUUUGUGUAACUUAGUUGAUUUUUGUAUAAAUGGUCUCAAAAAGGGUUGAUUAAAUUCUAGUCUGUUGAAAUGAUCUUGGAUAGGCCAUUAAUUAUUUUGGGGAAAAACUAAGUGGUGGAAUCGAAAAGAGGUAAGUAGAAUCUCACACACUUUACUUAGUUUUGAAACUAUGUAUAUAUGUAUGUUUCUAAUUGAAUGAAUAUUUUAUUUCAUUAUUUUCAAUGUAUGAAAAUAGGAUCAAGCAUAUGAUUAUUUUGUCUUUCUUUAUAUAAACGAUGGAUCACGCUUAUGAAUGAAAUGAAAAAAUGAUUUAUGUUUAAAGAAUAAUUUUAUGAUAGCUACAUUUUUACAUCCCUGGGAAGUGGGAUCAUCGACACCAAAACUAGUUCUACAACCCUGGCUAACGGGUAAUAGUAGUUAGCAAAGACAUGAUCAUACAACCCUGGCUAACGGGUAUUAGUAGUUAGCGUAAGCCUUGGCUAACGGGUUAUAAUAAUUAGCAAUGAUCAUGAGAAUGAAAUUGUCAAUACGGCCAAUGUCACGGGUUAUAGCAGUGACCAUAGCUAACGAUAAAUGAAUGAUAAUGAUGAUUUAUGAUGAUUUUAAUGAUUGAUCCAUGAUUUGGUUUGAUUAUGAUAUUUGAAUGGCAGCAUAUUUUGCAAUGAUUUAUGAAGUGACAUAUUUUGAUAUUGAUUUAUGAAUUUAUGAAAUAUUUGAUAAAACGAUGAUCUUGAAAUGUUUUGAUAUUAUGAUUUUGAUGAAUGUUUUGAAUGAUUUAUAUGAUGUGUAAGAAAACGAUGCUUGAUCUGGUAAGGUGUGUGAGCUUAUACUUACUGAACUGUGGUUUGCUCAUUCUCUUUUUACUUUUUCUUUACAGAUGACUAAGUGAUAAGUUCGGUUAGUCUUGUGUGAAGCUAGAAGAUGAAAUGGGUAAGAUUACUUAAUCGUCAGAGAAUAUGUUGGCCAAUGAUAUUUUAAGAGGCAGUUUUGUAUUUAAUAUGGUUUGUAUUUGGAUAUAUAAAGAUGUAUCAUUAGUUGGAUUAAAGAUAUGAAUUUUACUUAGUAGAUUGUUUUAUUGAAGAAUUUUAGAAUGUUUAAGAAAGAAGGCUUCAUAUUACUUUGAGAUUUUUUUCAAGGUAAUAUAGCCGUGUUACGUCUUGAUCUCAGGACAUGACAGGGAGGUGCUAUACUCUAAAGAUGGUGGAAAGGGAAAAAAAAGAAAAAUCAAUAAUGAUUAAAAAGCAAGCUGAGCUGGAGAUAGUUUCAAAAAAAGAUAAUCCAAUACCAGUGUUUGAAAAAGAAGCCUACGAGUUCUUGAAGCUGGUAAAGCAUAAAAAGUAUUUUGUAGGGGAGCAACUAAACAAGAUGGCAGUUAGGAUCUCUUUAUUAUCAUUAUUAUUGAAUUCAGAACCGCAUCAUAACGUCAUAUUAAAGGUCUUAAACUAAACUUAUAUGGCCUACAACGUGUCAAUAGAAUAUGUGAAUCAUUUGACUGGGAACCUAGUGGUGCCACAUUAUACAGCCUUUAACGAUGAUGAAAUCUUACCAAAAGGUAAAAAAAGCACAAAGGUUUUGCACAUUAUUGUCAAAUGCAAGAGUUACAUCAUAGCCAAGGUGCUUAUUGAUAAUUUUUCUAUUAUUAAUGUUACACCUAUAUCUAUUUUAGUGAGGUUGGCCAUUGAUAUGUCCUAUAUAAAAAACAACCAUAUGAUUGUCUAAGCCUUAAACGAGACUAGGUGUAAAGUAUUAUAAGACAUUGAAAUGCAUUUACAGAUUGGGCCUUGCACAUUUAAUGUAAAAUUCUAGGUUAUGGAGAUCUCACCUUCUUAUAGUUAUUUGUUAGACAGGACAUAGAUUCACAUGAAAGAUGUUGUUCCCUCCUCUUUACACCAGAAAGUUAAGUUUAAUAUAGAAAGAUAACUGGUGAUCAUGGUUAGAGAAGAGAUUUGUUAGUAACUCAGUCUAUGAAUGUUCUUUAUGUAGAGGCUGUGAAAGAAUCAUUGGAGUGUUCUUAUCAAUCUUUCGAGCUUGUCAAUACUGUGGGCUAAAAGGUCCAAAUUACACUAACCAGAUUUCACUAGAAUUUUGGUUAGCUAGAUUAUCAAUAAAAAUUGGUAUCCCAGAGCUGGGUUGGAUAAAAAUAUGCAAGGAAUAAAAGGGCCUCCAAUAAUAAUAGAAAAUAACGAAAGAUUAGGCUUGAGAUAUGAAGCUAAAGAAUAAAAAAUAAAGAUGAUGAGAGACAACCAAUGAGGAAAAAAAAUAGUGAGGAAUAUACCUGUAAUAACAUAUAAAUCUGUAAAUUUAUAGCAAGACUUAACAAGAAAAGUUACCACCAAUUUUUUUUUUAGGUGUGAUUGGCCACUUAAUAAAUCUACCUUUUCAAUGAGGUCCUAAGCUUGACUAAGGGUCCCUAAAGAAUAGCUUCUAACCUUCUGAACAAAAUUAGGUUUGAGAGUUUCAUUACUUGUGGGGAAGGUUAUACCACCACCACAACACCCAUUUUAAUAUGGUACUAUUUAAUUUUAAAUUUUCCUAACAAAUUAUCUUGGUUCUAAUGAUUUUUAUUUUAAUAUUUAAAUAUUGAAAAUGACUUCUAAGAUUUCUCCAUUAAUUUGGUAGAAUUCUUAAAAAUACUUUCUCACCUCAAGUGUAUUUAAGAAUCCCAUUUAUUUUCUUGCAAAAGCUCUGUCGUCAAAAAAAGGUUUAAUCAUUUUUAUUUUGAUUUUUUAUUGAAAAUAUAUCUAAUUAUUUCACCAUUUGGAUCAAAUUAGAAAUUUCUUCUCACCUAGAACUUUCUUAGAUAAUCAACCAUUUGCGAUUACCAAGAAUUUCAUCAUCGGGAUUUAUUUUUAUUUUUGAUUUCUAAAUUUUUUACCAUUUGGGUAUAUUUAGAAAUUUUUUUUGUUAUUUUUGGAAAAACAUAAUAUAACAAUUUUUUUUUUUGAAAUUUCAUUUAAAUUCUUCCACCAUUUGGGAUAAAUUUAAAGAAAAUUUCUCACCUAGAGAUUUCUUAAGAAUUUUACCAUUUGAAAUUUCUAAAAUUCUCAUCUUUGGAUAAUUGUCAAAUAUUUUUAACCAAAAACUUUUAUUUGGAAACAAAUACAAUUACUUUUUAUUGAAAUUUCAUCUAAAUUAUUCUACAAUUUGGAACAAAUUUUGAGAAAUUUCUCACCUAAAGAUUUCUUAGAGAAUUUAUCAUUUUAAAUUUCUACAAAUCUCAUCCUUAGGCAAUUAGUAUUUAAUUCCAAAAUUUUAUUAAAAUUUUAUUAUUUUUUUAUUUUGAAUUGAAAAUAAAUAUUAAUUAUUAUUAUUAUUGAAAUUUUAUCUAAAUUAUUCUACCAUUUGGGAUAAAUUUAGAAAACAUUUCUCACCUAGAACUUUUAUUAAAAUUUACCAUUUAUAAUUUCUAAAAAUUUCAUUGUUGGAUAAUUAUUAUCUAUUCUCAAAAAAAUUAUUAAUGUUUUAUUUUAUUUUUUUAUUAUUUCUUCUAACUUUUUCUAAAAUUUAAUCAAACAAAAAUAAUUUAAAAAUAAAUAAAUAAAAUAAAAAAUACCAAAACAGGAACUGCCUCGGCUUGGCUAGUGUGUGUGGCUAGGCUACAGGCACAAAACUGGUUGAAAAGGCUUGGAAAGCGACUCAACUCGACUAAGGUAUAGGUUGAUUAACCACCGAAAUCUGGGUAAUUAUGCCAGAAUUUUACCCUUAAUUGCUGUUAAGCCUUUACUUGUACUUUUUCCCUUAUUUUUCUUUCUAAUUGCUAUCUAAUUGUUGUCUUUUGUUCUGUGAUUUAAAGGCCUAUUUAUAGGGAACAAUAUAGAGAAUUUCAUAUUGAUUCCAAUUUAAAAAGUUAGGAUUAUCAUGAAAAAAUAAAAUUUAUCUUUAAAAAGUUUAACUUCAAAUUUAAUUAUGAUAAAACUAAAUUAUUACCAGCCACUCCAUUUUAAUUUAUGGCCAUUCUUUUUUUUUUUCAAUUAUCCAUUUUUUUUAAAUAUCCAGAUACAUUUAAAAAAAUUAGAUAAACAUGAGGAAAUACAAUUAAAGAUAAACAACAAAUAAGCAAGACAAAAUAAGUAAUAAAAUAAAACAAAAAAGAUAAAUAAAAAAAUAUAUAGAUAAAUAAAAUAAAAACACAAUUUUGACAAUUAGGCUUAGAUCAAAUCUGAGCCCAAUUGAUUUGGGCCUUUAGCCUUGAAAUUAAAUCGGGCCUAGUUGACUUAGACCCCGUACUAAAUUGGGUGUCUAUAAUUGUCUCUCUUUGCUUAUUUUCUAUGCAACAGGAAUUAUGCAAAAAUAUAAACAUUCAUUACUUCUAAAUGUAGUUUAAUAACAAUUAUAAAAUCUCAAAACUCCAAAUAUUCACAAUUUGAAGUAAUCAAGAAUUUCACAAUCCGACAAUUAGUAAUGCAAGUUGAAACUCAAAGAUUCAUAAUUUAAGUUUAAAGAAUCACCAUUUUGAAAUUCAAAGGUUCGCAAUUCAACAAUUAGCAAGGUUCAAUUUCACAAGAAUUUGAUUCGUAAGGAUUUCAAAUUCUCAAAAUUCAUAUUUGCAAGGAUUUUGGACUUGCAAGAAUUUGAUUCUUAAGGAUUUUAGGUUCACAAGAAUUUUCAAAUUUGCAAGAAUUUGAUUCUCAAAAUUUCAAUUUCACAAGGUUUUUCAGCUUAACACGAUUUUUCAACUUCGUAAGAAUUUAUAUUCACAAGAAUUUGAUUCUCAAAAUUUUAGUUCACAAGGAUUAAAGAUUCGCAAUAAUUUGAUUCUCAAAUUUUCAAUUUCGCAAGGAUUUAGAUUCACAAGAAUUUGAUUCACAAAAUUUCAUAUUCGCAAGAUUUUUCAAUUUCGCAAGAUUUCAAAUUUGCAAGAACUUAGAUUCACAAGAACUCAAAUUUGUAAAAUUUUAGAUUUGCAAGAACUUAGAUUCACGUUUGAGAGAUUCACAUCCAAAGUUUAAUUCAAGGAUUUGCAUCAAAAUUGCAAGCCUCACAUCCAACAUUUGAAGAUUCAUAUUCUUCUAGAGAUUCACACCCAAAAGUUUAAGGAUUUUUAUUUACAAAAAAAACUUUAGGAAUUCAUUUCCAAGAUUUCAAAGUUUCUCAUUCGAGUUUCAAGAUUUAUAUUCGAUAAAUUUAGUAGUUUCACAUCUAUAUUCAAAGGUUCUCAUUAAAAAAAAUUUGGGGUUUACAUCUAAAAUUUUCAAAGCUUCUUAUUCAAGUUCAAAGAUUCAUAUUUGAUAAAUUUUUUAGUUUCAUAUCUAAAUUCAUAGGUUCUCAUUAAAAAAUUUAGAGGUUCACAUCCAAAAUUUUCAAAAAUUCUCAUUCAAGUUCAAAGAUUCACAUUCGAUUGAUUUUAGAGUUUCACAUCUAAUUUAAAAGUUCUCAUUCAAAAAAAUUUGGGGUUCACAUCCAAGAGUUCAAAGCCUCUUAUUCGAGUUCAAAGAUUCACAUUUCAUUAAUUUUAGAGUUUUACAUCUAAAUUCAAAAGUUCUCAUUUAAAACUCAAAGAUUUUCAUUUAAAACUUUUUAAAGAUUCUCAUUUAAAACUCCUUAAAGUUUUUCAUUAUUUUAACUUUAAAAAUGCUCCAUUAAAAGGCUCGACAACUUUAAAAUUCUAAAUGUUCUCCUGAUAAAACAUUUUUCCACUUAAGGAUUCUCAACUUUAUAAAAAUUCUCAAUCUUUCAUCAAAGUCAAAACUUUGUAUAUAAAGAAUGUCAUGAUUAUUAUGCAAAUGCAAAAAUCUAGAUUCUUACAAAAAUGUAGACACUAUAGUUUAAACCAUAAUUCAAAUAUUCACUACAUGAGGCAAAUGCAUGGCCAGCCAAGAUUCAAAUAUUCACAAGAUUAUAUACAUGUAUUGUUCAAUGCAAACACAAUGCUUGGAAUACAAAUAUCAAUGUCAUGAAAUUCUACUUAAUUGUAGUAAUAUGGUUCUCAAGACCUCACCAUCUUAUCUUUUCUUUUUUUAACAUCUUGACACUAACUAUUUCAGAAUAAAUUCUAUUAAUUGAUCCACAUUAUUUUCAUCAUUUGAUCAUGACUCAUAGGUUUCACAGCACUAGCAAUUUUAGAACAAAUUUUAUCCACUGAUUCAUAUUAUUUCCAUCACUUAAUCAAAAUUCAUAGGUUACAUCGACUAAUCCAUUACCAUAUUCAUCACUUGAUCAUCCCAUGUGUCUUUUCAAAUUAUCUUCUUAAGCUUCGUCCAUCUUUUUAUUUUUUUACCUCUUCAACUUUUUUUCAAAGAAAUGCAGGAAUCUUUUCUAAAUAUUAUCAUUCAUUCAUUAUCAUUUUCAAUUCUUAACAAAUAUAAUGCAAUCACAUAUUUUUUCAAUUUAUUUUAAGGAUGCAAAAAUAAGAGAGUACAAGGUGAAUUGAGAGAACAAUAAUCAAUAUAAGAAUGAGUCUAGUACAAAAAUAAAUGGACAAAGGAAAAAAUUUAAAACAUAUCACUAAGGAUGGUAUUAAAUGGUAUAAUAAUGUCUAAACAAUGAAUAUUCAAACAAUUCUUAACAUUAAUCCAAAAUUUUUUUUCAAAAACUCAUUCUAUUGUCUUUCAAAAUCAUAUGGAGCUUAUUAAAUUUUAUCCCAGCCUUAAGGGAUCUUCAAAUGUCUUUGAUCUUUCAUAUAUUUAAAUUGUUUAUCUAACUCUCAGCUCAGAUGUUUUUCUACCUAAAUUACCCUUUUAGGUAUUCAAUUUGAAUCUUCAUUUUCUCUCAUUUUACAUUUUUUUAUUUUCUCUUUUUUUCAUUUUUCUUUUUUUUCUUUUCAUUUUUUCAUUUUUUUCAUUUUUUUCAUUUUUUAAUUUUUUCUUCAUUUUUCAUUUUUUUCCUUUUCUCAUUUUCCAUCCAUUAUUGAUAUCUCCUGCACAUCAAUCUCUAAAAUACAUAACAUGAUUCCAUUGUUCCAUCAUAAAGCAUUUCUUAGCCCAAUAUAUGAUCAUUCAAUUCAAACAUUCAUAUUUUAUCAAAAUAAACUUUUACAGGUUAUAACGUAGGCUAUGAUAAAGGUUCAUGAAAGAAAUGAAUAAAAUAGGCUCAAAACACAUGUUUAAAGGGUUCAAACCAAAAGAUAAUUUUUCAUCAUGUGAUGUAGUUUGGCACUUUGCCUCAUUCCACAUCAUUUCACUACUUUUUUUUUUAUCUUAUUUAUCAUAAAAAGAUUCGCAUUUCUUUAUCCCAAAUCAUUUAUGGCAUUCAUUUUUUUUGUAAAGGGUUCUUCUUUUCUUUUUUUUUUUUUACUCUCUAUCUUUAAGGCCUUUUGUGAUCUCUUGUUUUUUUUUUCACGUAUGUUUUUUCUAAAAUUUAUCUCUUAGUAUGGAGGAUGAUCCUUGGUUAGGGUUCUUUAGGAAAAAAAUCAUAAUAGGCUCAAAAGGAGUAACAAUGGAUGGUUUUAUCAAUGGUAAAAAAAAUAUAGCCAUUUUUAAUCUCAAAUGUGAAUGCUUUUUUUGAAUAUUAUAUAUUGAACAAAGACAAACUCACGGAUCAUUAUAAAUGACUACAUAUCUUUAAGACAUAUUUAUUAUAUAUCUGCUAGCAGCUUACUUUUUUUGCUCAAAUAGUCUCUAUAGAUCAAUGUGAAUGAGUUCUGAAAACUAAAUCCUAGAAUUAUUGUUAUCAUUGUCUUAACAUUCAUCAUUGAGAAUGAGAAUAUAAGACAAGUAAAAAAACUAAGCAUGGAAUAUUGGUUAGGAUAAAAGAGAAAAUAUAAUAAAAUACAUCAUACUUGCCUUUUAUUAAAAUGAUAAAAAAUGAAAUCUUAUUACAUAAAAAAAAUCCUAACAUUACUUUGAAAGAAAUUUUAAAAUGACAAGCAACAUCCAACCAACCUUAACAUCUUUGUCCAUCUUAAAAUUAUGCCCCUGUAUGAUCAGGUGAAAAAUUUUUAUUAACAUUUUGCCCUCUGAUUCAUCAAAGCUCAUCAAGCCUUUUCGAAUCAAACUUCACACUUUGUGUUUAAAAGCAAGGCAAGUUUCAAUAAAAUGACUCAUAUUCCUAUUAUGAUAAUCGCCUGUCGCAUUAGCAUUAUACCAUUUUGGAUAGAGUAGCUUUAAUGGUUCUAGAAUAACUAAAAAUACUAAGUCAUUCUUAACUAGUUCUGGGAAUAACUUAGUGUAAGUCACAAUGCUAGGAUCAAUGUGGGCCCUUUCUUGGUUAUUUUGAGAUCUCCUUAAACCAUUUGCUUGGUUGUUAUGCUUUGAAGCUAAUAUAAUUAUAUGACUAGAUCCAUAUAUAGGUAUUUGAAAGGUUGAUUAAUAGGUUGGUGGGUAAGCUAGUUGUGGAUAUGGUUGGUAAGGGGCCUACAAAAUACCAAUAACUAUGGGAUAGUAAAUAGGAUGAACAGGUGGUGGAUAUGAAGCAUAGCUUUUGAAUUGUUUCCCAUCAAAAUUCAUAGCUUAGGCUUUAAUUUCUUUCUUUUUAGGCAACCCUUAUUUCUUGCUAGUUUUUCCUUCUUGAAGCUCGUCACUCUUGAUAGCAUUUUUAAUAAUUUCUCUUGAAAUCACCAUAUCAAUAAAGUUCUUCAUUACAUUCCUUAUCAUCUUUUCAUAAUAGAGAAUUUUAAAGUACUUACAAAUAACAUUGUAAUCUUUUUUUCAGUUAAAAAUGACUGAACUUGAGUAGCUAUGUCUUUCUACCUCUAGGCAUACUUUUUAAAUGAUUCAAUCACCUUCUUCUUCAUACUCUGUUAGGAAAGAUGCUUAAGAGUUAGAUCUAUUAUAUAUUGGUAUUAGCUGAAAAAAUCACAUGCCAUCUCACUCUAAGAGUGAAUGUAGGUUUUGUCCAAUUGGACAUACCUUCUAGCAGUAGAACCACUAAGGUUAUCUUGAAAUACAUACAUUAACAGCUUCUUAUUAUUAGCAUAGGCAAUCAACUUCUGACGGUAUAUGGUAAUAUGGGUAUUUGGACACUUUGUACUAUCAUAUUUCUUAAACUUUGGUACUUUAAACUUUAGAAAAAUAACAACAUUUGGACUAAACAGUGCCCAGCAACAUCUACAGAAUCAUAAAAACCAAUUCCUUCUACUAUUCGUAACCUUUUCUUGAGCAUAUUCAUCUUUUUGUUAGCUAUUGAACCUUCUAAAAUCUCUUUCUACUUAAGUCUUAGCUUCUCUUUCUCUUCUAGGUCAUUCAAGUUGGAGAUUGGUAUUGAUUCUACUAUUUUAUCAGUAAAUACAAGAUUUAUAUAACUCUAGUAAUGCCUUAGAUUUGAAGUCGAUGGCAUUAUUAGGGUAUGUAUACCCUACAAGGUAUGUGUAUUGCUAUAGUGGUGCAUCAUGUGUGGACUAGGCUUGAUAUGGCCUAUAACUGUGAGGAUAAAGAGGAUCAACAACAUUUUUAUGAGGAAUGGUCUUGCAACUGGUAUUUUAAUCUACAUUUUUUUUCCUUAUUCAAUUUAUUCAACGAUUUUAGAAUCUUACUCAACUACCCUUCAAGCUUUUCUUGGGCCUUCUCUAUUUUUUCCAAACAAUUUGCAUUUUUCUAUUCCAUUUGCCUAGCUCAAGCUCUGGUGUUAUACUAAUGGUAAAUGUGUUGAACUGGGUUCUUAGAUGGUGGAGCUAUCUUUAAACCUUGUACCAUAAUUAGCUUGCUUAUGUUAUUAAAUGUGUUUAUGAAAAAGCUUGCAAAAUUAACCUAACUUUUUUAAGAAUGAAUGCAUUGAAUGCUUGACCUAACAAAUUAUGAUUCAUAAGCACAUGAAUGUAUGCACAGUAAUGUAUGAUGCAUGUACUGAUGUUUGUCUCAUUAUGAUGCAUAGGUGGAUACAUAUGUUAGUAAUGCUAGAAUAAGAUACAACACAUAACAUACAACAACUUAAUCAAUAAGGAUAAAAUAACAUUUAUCAUGAAAGUCUUAUGAAUGAAGCUCAAAAAGUUCACUCAUAUGUCCUAAUUAGGGUUAUAUUCUAGUGAUGGGUAGGUGUGGCUCUAACAUAAAGUUAGCUUCUUAUGUAUUACUAUAUGUGGUUUAGGUUAAAUCUGAAGGUUCUCAAAUUGUUCUCAUAUCAUUGUCCAUCACAAACUAGUAAGACACUCAAAUCCUCACUCAUUAUAGGCUACAAAUGAAAAAAAUUCAAUUUGAGUUAGAGUAUUUCACUAGCCAUUACAGAGAUUAUCAUCUUAUGAAAGCAUAGGUACUUUACUCUCUCUUAAAAAGGACAGAACCUAGGUAUAAAACUCAUAUGAUGUAUAUGCAUGUGAUGGUAUGUGAAGGAACACAUAUAUCUUUAUUUGUAAUUUUUACAAGCAAAGUCAAAGAAUAAAAAAAAUAAUAAUUUAAUAUCAAGCAAAAAAAAAGAGAUAAUUCAUAAUUAAUUAAUGGCUUAACUCUCUAGUAUUCCCAAUAGAGUCGUCAUACUAUCAUAACAUAUAGAUCUAUAAAUUUAUAGCUAGACUUAACAAUAAGAGUUGCCACUAAUUUUUUUUAGGUGUGAUUGGUCAUUUAAUGAAUCUACCAUUUUAAGAAGCUCAUAAGCUUGACUAAGGGUCCCUAAAGAAUAGGUUCUAACCUUUUGAAUAGAACAAGGUUUGGAAGUUUGAUUAUGUGUAAGGAAGGCUAUAAUGCCCCCUAAUGCCCAUCCUAAUAUGGUAUCAUUUAAUUUUAAAUUAUCCUAACAAUUAUCUUGGUUCUAAUGGUUUUUACUUUAAUGUUUAAAUAUUAGAAAUGACUUCUAAGAUUUUUUCAUCAAUUUGGUAGAAUUCUUAAAAAUACUUCCUCACCUCAAAAGUAUUCUAAAAUCCCAUUUGUUUUCUUUAAAAAGCUUCAUCGUCGAAAGAAGGUUUAAUUAUAUUUAUUUUAAUUUUUUUAUUAAAAUUAUAUCUAGUUAUUCCACCAUUUUGGCAUAAUUAGAAAUAUCUUCUCACUUAAAUAUUUCUUAGAUAAUCAACCAUAUGUGAUUACCAAGAAUUUCGUCAUCGAGAUUUAUUUUUAUUUUUUAUUUCUAAAUUUUUCACUAUUUUAGUCUAUUUAGAAUUUCUUUUUUUGUUAUUUUUGGAAGAACAUAAGAUAACAAUUUUUUUUUUAAAUUUCAUUUAAAUUCUUCAACUACUUGGGAUAAAUUUAAAGAAAAUUUCUCACCUACAGAUUUCUUAGGAAUUUUACCAUUUAAAAUUUUUAAGAUUCUCAUCAUUGGAUAAUUGCCAAAUAUUUUUAGCCAAAAUUUUUUAUGUGAAAAAGAAUACAAUUACUUUUAUUGAAAUUUCAUCUAAAUUAUUCCACCAUUUGGGACAAAUUUAGAGAAAUUUUUUACUUAAAAAUUUCUUAGAGAAUUUACCAUUUUAAAUUUCUAAAAAUAUCAUCCUCGUAUAAUAACUAUUUAAUUCCAAAAUUUUAUUAAAAUUUUAUUAUUUUUUAUUUUGAAUUGAAAAUAAAUGUUAAUUAUUAUUAUUGAAUCUUUAUCUAAAUUUUUCUACCAUUUGGGAUAAAUUUAGAAAAAAUUUCUCGCUUAGGAAUAUUUUUAAAAUUUACCAUUUACAAUUUUUAAAAAUUUCAUCAUUAGAUAAUUAUUAUUUAUUCUCAAAAAAAUUAUUAAUAUUUUAUUUUAUUUUUUAUUAUUUUUUCUAACUUUUCCUAAAAUUUAAUCAUGUAAAAAUACUUUAAAAAUAAAUAAAUAAAAUAAAAAUACUAAAAUAGGAACGACUCGGCUCAGUUAGUGUGUUCCGCUAGGCUGCAAGUAUGAAACUGGCUGGAAAGGCUUGAAAAACAACACAACUUGACUUAGGUGUAGGUUGCUAGAUUCUGGGAUUGAUCGUCAAAAUUUGGGUAAUUAUGCCAUAAUUUUACCUUAAAUUGUUGUCAAACCCUUACUCUUACUUUUUCCUCUUUUUCUUUCCAAUUGCUCUCUAAUUGUUAUCCUUUUGCUUUGUGAUUUAAAUGUCUAUUUAUAUGGUACAAUAUGGAGAAUUUUAGAUCGAUUCCAACUUAAAAAAUUAGGAUUAUCAUGGAAAAAUAAAAUUUAUCUUUGAAAAGUUUAACUUUAAAUUUAAUCAUGAUAAAACUACAUUAUCACUAGGCACUCCUUUUUAAUUUAUGGUCGUUCAUUCUUUUUCUCAAUUAUUCAUUUUUUUGAAAUAUCCAGAUAAAUUUUUAAAAAAUUAGAUAAAUAUGAGGAAAAAAAUUAAAUAUAAACAACCAAUAAGCAAGAAAAAAUAAAUAAUAAAAUAAAAUAAAAAGGACAAAUAAAUAUAUAUAUAUAGAUAAAUAAAGUAAAAACACAAUUUUGACCAUUAGGCUUGGAUCAAAUCUAAGCCCUAUUGAUUUGGGCCUUUGGCCUUGAAAUUAAAUUGAGCCCAGUUGAUUUAGACCCCGAACUAAAUUGGGUGUCUACAAUCGAUGGUCAUUCUACAUCUGUAUAAAACUUUUAGGCUAGUAGGAUAUAUGUAUAUAAGGUUAGAGGAAGAUGCUAAAGUGAAAUUGAGUGUGGAAGAAGCUUUCGCCGAGUUGUCCAUCCAAAUAAUAGGCGAAAAAGAUACAAUAGUCUAUAAGGAAAAGGUGUUGGUCCAUCCAUGUCCACCAGGCUUUGAACUAAAAAAUUAUAGUAUUAUCGAGAUGCCUGCUAUCCUUGAUACUUUUCCAAUAUAAUUAUAACUCCCAAUUGUUUGUGCCUAAAAGUAUUGGGAUGGUCUUUUAUGUACAAGCCUCUUAUCAAUUCUUAUCUCAAUAAAAGAAUAGAAAUAAGCAUUUUCAUUCAUUUCUUCUAUUCUGGUUUCAUUUUUUGACUAGUCAAAACAUUUUUUCAGUACUUUCCAUUUCAUUUAAUUUCAGGUCUUCAAAUUAAUAUAAAGAUAAUCAUGAUGACAAUCAAAAAUUUCAUUUUGAAAACUCAAUUAAUAUUGAUGAACUUGACACCAAAGAUGACUCUAAAGAAUACACUUUACCUUCACAUCUAAUGAAAUUGAUUGAAUAAGAGAAUAAAUCUAUUAAGCCUCAUCAAGAAAUCAUUGAGAUUAUAAAUUUAGGGGAUGAUAAGAAUAAGAAAGAAGUCAAGGAUUGCUUAUCACUUCCAUCAACUGAUAGACAAAGGUUAAAAGAUCUAUUUUGAGAAUUUAUAAAUGCAUUUGACUAGUCCUAUUAAGAUAUGCAUGGGUUUAGCACCAAAAUAGUGGAGCAUAAGUUACCCAAAACUUGAAUGUAGGCCUGUUCAACAAAAAUUGAGAAAAAUGAAGCCUAAAUGUUGUUAAAGAUUAAAAGUGGUAAAAAAAAAUAGUUUGAUGUAGGCUUUCUACAAGUGACCAAAUAUCUUGAGUAGGUAGCUAAUAUAGUACCUAUUCUUAAAAAAGAUGGAAAGAUAUGGAUGUGUGUGGAUUAUCGCAAUAUGAAUAAGGCUAGGCCUAAAGAUCAUUUUUCUCUACCUUAUAUCGACACAUUGGUGGAUAAUAAGGCCAAGCAUUCGAUAUUCUCUUUUAUGGAUUAGUUUUUAGGUUAUAAUCAGAUAAAGAUGGCCCAAGAUGACAUAAAGAAAACUACAUUCAUAAUUAUAUGGGGUACAUUUUGUUAUAAAGUUAUGCCUUUUGGACUAAAAAAUGCCAGGGUAACUUAUCAAAGAGUUAUUGUAACAUUCUUUCAUGACAUAAUGUAUAAGGAGAUUGAGAUGUAUAUGGACGAUAUGAUAACAAAAUAUCAUGAAGAAGAAGACCAUGUAAUUAAUCACAGAAAGUCAUUUAAAAGGUUAAUAAAGUUUCAACUCAAGUUAAAUCCAUCCAAAUGCACAUUUGAAGCUAAGUCAAGGAAAUUGCUAGACUUCAUGGCUAGUGAAAGAGGGAUUGAAGUUGACUCAAACAAGAUAUGGGCCAUCUAGAAUCUAUUUCCUCCAAGCAUGCCAAAAGAAGUUUGAAGUUUUCUAGGCAAAUUGAAUUACAUCUCUCAAUUCAUUUUUUUAACUUACAUCCAAAUGUGAUCCCAUCUUUAAAUUCUUUCAAAAGAACAAUCCUAUUGAGUGAAAUAAAUAGUGUCAAGAGGCUUUUGAUAAGGUUAAGUAGUACUUGUCAAAUUCUCUACCACUGGUAUCACUUGUUCUAGGGAAACCAUUAAUUCUAUAUUUGACUGUACAUGAGUAAUCAAUAAGAUAUGUGUUGGGGCAACAAGAUAAGUUUGGUAAAAAGGGAAAAGCUAUUUACUACUUAAGCAAAAAGUUUAUGAAAUAUGAGUCUAAGUAUUCAUCAUUAGAGAAAAUGUGUUGUGCUUUAGCUUGGAUAACUAAAAAACUCAAGCAUUACAUGCUCUACCAUACCAUUUGGCUUAUAGCCAAAUUAGACCCAAUCAAGUAUAUUUUCAAAAAAUUGUCAUUGUCUAGAAGGAUUGUAAUAUGGCAAAUAAUGUUAUCGAAGUAUGAUAUUAUGUAUGUAAGCCAAAAAGCAAUCAAAAGAAGUGUCAUAGCAAAAUGUCUUAUAGAUCAUGUUACUGAAAGCUAUGAGCCAAUGAAACUUGAUUUUUCGAAUGAAAAAUUAAUGGCCAUUUUUUAGCUAGAGGAAGAAGAUGAUAAUGAGAAAUCCUAAAAAAUGUACUUCGAUGGGGCUGUUAAUGCCUUGAGGCAUGAAAUUAAGACAAUUUUGAUAUCUCCCAAAGGAUGUUAUUAUCCCAUUAUGGCAAGGUUGAACUUCAAUUACACUAAUUAUAUGGCAAAAUACUAUGCCUAAGUCAUGGGUUUACAAGCUGCUUUGAAUAGGAAAAUUAAAGUAUUGAAAGUGUUCAGAAAUUCAACUUUAACCAUUUAUCAAUUGAAAAAGAAUGAGAGAUAAGGGAUUCAAAACUUAUUCCAUAUCAUAAAUAUAUCUUAGAGUUAUGCAAACAGUUUAAGGAAGUUCAAUUUAAACAUUUUUCCUGUGAAAAAAAUCAAAUUGUAGAUGCACUGGCUAUUUUGGCAGUGAUGAUUCAGGUUAAUAACAAUACUAAGAUUUAGCCCAUUAAGUUAGAUAUCCAAGAUAUGCCACUACAUUGCACUAAUGUGAAAGAAGAAGAAGAUGGAAAACCUUGGUAUUAUGACAUCCUAUAAUACUUAAAGAAUCAGUAAUGCCCAGAUGAAGUAAUAGAAAAUGAUAAAAGAGUCCAAAAGAGAUUGGCUAUGGUUUCUUCUUAGAUGGUGAGGUCAUUUAUAAAAGAGCUGAGAUCAGGUGGUAUUACAAUGUGUAAAUGCAGCUAAGGUAAAGAAGAUUAUUGAAGAUGUAUACGAUAAGGUAUAUGGAGCACAUGCAAAUAAACACAUGAUGGUAGGAUAGAAUAUAAGAGUUGGAUACUACUAGUUAACAAUAAAGAAUGACUGCAUUGAUUAUAUUUAAAAGUAUCAUAAGUGUCAAAUUUAUGCCGACAAGAUCUAUGCUUCACCAUUUACUUUGCAUGUUUUGACACCACAUUAGCCAAUCUCUACAUAUAGAGAAGGCAAUUUAACCCAAAUCCAGUAGUUUCGACCCGACUCAACCUUUUAGUGUCAAUUUUUUUGUAAAAUCGAGUGUCGGGUUGGGUCGAGUAAUAUAAGAAAAAAUUCAAAAUUAGGUCGGGUUGAGGUUUAGGCAAACCCAACCUUACCCUACCCCCUACCCGAUAUAUAUAAAAAUUAUUUUUUUAAUUAUUUAUUUAAUUUUAUAUUUAUUUUUAUAAAUUUUUAUAUAUAUUUAAUUUUAUAUUUAUAUUAAAAUAAUAUUUUAUAUUUUAAAAAUAUAUAUUAUAUUAAUUUCGGGUCAGAUUAGGUCAGGUACAAUCUCAUACAAUGUCUUGUUGGGUAGGAUCAAGUUCGGGUAUAAAAAAUAAAAAAAUCAUUAGGUUGGUCAGGUUCAGGUUUUAUAUAUAUAAAGUCGGGUCAGGUUCGGAGUAAGCAAAAACCCAUCUCGACCCGAUCUGUUACCAUCACUAUCUAUAUGGGGCAUGGAUGUUUUUGGUCCCAUUACUCCAAAAAUAUCAAAUGAAAAUAGAUUCAUUUUUAUGAUGAUUGAUUAUUUUACUAAAUUAGUUGAAGUAGCUUCAUAUAUGAAUGUGACAUGAUCAGUGGUUUGCUAUAAAAAGAGAAAUAAUAUGCAGAUAUGGACUUUGAGAGAAGAUCAUCUUAGAUAAUGCUUAAAACUUAAAUAGUAAGAUGAUGAAAGAUAUAUAUGCUCAGUUCAAAAUUAAACACCAUAACUCAGCAUCGUAUCACCCACAGAUUAAUAGGACAUUAGAAGUUGCUAAUAAAAAUAUCAAAAAAAUUCUAGAGAAAAUUACUAAUACGUAUAGAGAUUGUCAUGAGAAAUUGCUUUUUGCUUUACAUGCCUAUCUAAUGUCAGUACGUAUCUUUACUAAGGCAACCUUGUUUUCCUUGAUUAUGGGAUAGAGGUUGUAUUACUAGUUGAAAUAGGAAUCUCAUCUUUUAGAGUCUUAAGAGAAGUGGGAUUAAAAAAAGCUAAAUGAAUUUAAGAGCGCUAUGAACAACUAAACUUCAUUGAAGAGAAAAGGCUAGUAAUGUUGUGUCAUGGUUAAUUAUAUCAUAUAAGAAUGAUGAGUGCUCAUGACAAGAAAGCCCGACCUCAUCAAUUUCGAGGAGAAGAGUUGGUGUCGAAAAGAAUUUUUCUUAGUUAGCGUGAUAAUAGAAGAAAGUGAACCCAAAUUGGUAAAGGUCAUAUGUGGUAAGAAUGACUUUUUUAGAUGAAACAUUAAUUUUAAUAGAGAUGGAUGGAGAUGAUCUUUCUAAUCCUAUAAAUUCUAAUACUAUGAAAAAGUACUUUACUUUAAAAAAAAAAGUCUAAGUCGAAAACCCAAAAGGGUAAUUUGAACCAAAAGUGGGUUUAUCCAAGUUGAAAAUAUGUAAAGGCAACUUGGAUGAUAAGAGUACGACAUCAUUUGAAUGGUUCACCAACAUGAAAACUAGUAUAUUUUGAAAAGCUCUAAAGCACUAAGGGCAUUAUAUGGUUGAGUUUUUUAAGAAAAUCGGAUAUAUGUUAUCAUGAUUAUUUGAUUGUAUAUCUUAAAGCAUUGUUAACCCAAAUAGCCAUCAUUGUUUACCUUUACCAUGUCCAAUUAGCCACCAUUUGUAAUAUGGUAUCUUUUUCAAAUAAAGAUAUUCAUUUCAUUAUUUAUAUCUCAUUUUCAAUCAUUAUCAUUUCUUUAAAUUAUUUGCAUUGAAUAGAAGAAAUAUAUGAUUUACGUCUUAUAUGUCUUGACAAUGGGAUAAUGAUUGAUAAUUGAAUAAUAUCAUGAAAGAUUAUAUAUUACUUUGGGGAAAGUGAAAGAUACAAAGGCAAAAGAUAAAACCUUCAAAACCUGUUAAAGGACAUUGAUUUAGGAAAGAAAAGAAAGAAAAUGAGAAAGGCGAGCGCCUACUUUGAACAAUAAAGAAAAUAGCUAAUUUUGUUCCUAUUGUUGGAAAAUUGAAGAGUUUGGAAUUCAAACGAAAAAGUUUUGAGAAUCUAUGUACCACAACUGAAAGUUCAUUAAUUAUCAUUUGCAUUGAAUAAAUUGCAUAUAGGGAUAUCUUUUCCAUUUAUCUAGAGUAGGGAUGUCACAAGAUCCAACAUAAAGAAUGCAAAUCCAAAGAUUUCAAAUUCUCGAUGGAGAAGAAAUUUUUAAGGUAAGAUUUUUUAAUCUUAAAAAAAAAAAUUUUUCAAAAUCUUUAAACCUUUGAUUAGAGGACUCUAAUUUAAAGUUGUUUAGCCUCUAUAUAGACAAGCCUAUUUCUUAGUUUAAAGUUUUUUAGCCUUUAAAUAGGGAAGCUCAUUUCUUAGUUUAAAGUUAUUUAGCCUCUAUAUAGAUGAGCUCAUUUUUUAAUUUAUUAGCCUUUGUAUAGAGGAGUUUUAUUUUGUUAAACCUCUAUUUAGAUGAUUUAUUUGGACUUUUUAAGCUUUAUGCCUCUGUUUAAAGGAGUUUGUUAAAAUUUUUCAAAAAUUGCAUGCCUUUUUUUAAAAGAUUCUUUUAAAAUUACUUAAGUUGAACCGAACUCAAUGGUUUUCUAUGUCUUUGCAUCAUUCUUAUUUCACAGAAAUGUACAAAAAGAGGUAACCAUAGACACUCCAUUUCGUCUGGUGCCUGUAAUUGAACUUCAAUUUGGGUUUUCUAGGCUUGCAAGGUAUCUAUCGGGCCUUUAAACUAGUGUAAAGCCUUAAAUUGAUUAUGGGCUUUAAGCCAAUAUAAGGUACCUUUUGAUAUUUAAGCUUUGAGCCCACUUUAUAAUUGCACUUAUGUUUUAAUUAAAUAUUAAUAAAAAAUUAAUUUAAAAAAUGAUAAAAAGUAAUAAAUGAAAUCAGGAAUUUUUUUGAAGAUCAAUCUUGAAAUCAUGAUUGUAUAGAAUUGGAAACAAAUCAAAAAAGAAAACACUGACCAGAAUCAAAUUAAAACCCAAAGUCAAACCACGAUUUAGAUCGAAUCUGUUUAUGGCAGAUUUGAUCUUUAAAUAAUGGAACCCUAAAAUUUUUGACUAGGAAAUCCAUAUAAAUCGUGCUCAAACCCACAAAUAUAUACACAGAGAUUAGGCAAAAGCUGUAAACAAAGGUUGUAGACACCUAUCUGUGUCUGGAGUCCAUCGUAUCAAUUUUUAUUAUUUUUGCCAUUAUAGUUAAUUACUAUACUAUUAUUAUAUUACUACUAUACUAUUGUUAUAUUAUUAUAGUAUUAUAUUAUAUUAUUAUUAUAGUAUGUUGAUAUUAUAUAUCUAUUAUUAUAUUAGUAUCAUAUUAUAUUAUAGUAUACUAUUAUAUUAUAUUAGGUUAUCAUAUUAUAGUUAUUAUUAUUAUUAUUAUUAUUCUUAUUAUUAUUAUUAUAUUUGAUAUUUUAUUACUUUUAGUAUUUUUAUCAGAUUUUCUUUCCUUUUUCUUGAUCGAGGCUAAACAAAUUAUGGAAACCGAAAUUGAAUCAAUUAAUCAAAGGUUUUAAUAUAGAAUCAUGUCUAGAUAAUGGUUGAAUUUAAUGUUGAUUAAAUCAGUGAACAAAAUCACGUUCAAGCAUAAUACAAUCCCAGGAUUUAAGCCUAGGAUUUAUCCUAUCCAUUUCCUAAAAUCCGUUCUAAGAGGCUUAUAAAUUGAACAAUAAAUCAAAGGAAUGGGAGAAAAAAAGUAGUGAAAAAGCUGGGGUUAUUAUUUUGGAAAUAAUUUUUGGGUAGUAGGGCUUUAUGGAAAAUUUUGGUCUUUGGGAUUUGGAUUCUUGGGAGUUUUGGGUUUGAUCUAGAGUUUCUAAGUUUAGAUUUGGGAUUCUAAGAUUAGGUUUAGAUUUCUGAAGGGAUUUUGGAGAAUUUGGGAAAAUUUUGUUUUUUAUUUUUGGAAAAUUUUGGAAUUUUGGAAGAACAUAUGAAUUUUUUAAUGAAGUUUUCGGCAAAAGUUUAAAGUUUCUAACAAGAUUUUCAGAAACUAACUAAGUUUCUAGAUUUUGGUUAAAUCUUUAGGUAGGUUUUUAAAGAGAAGGGAGAGAUCUUUUAGGUUAAAGAGAGAGCGAGCAGAAGGUUUCUGAAACUAAACGCCUAGCUUUUAUACUGGUACAAAAUGAUGAUGUUUUGAACAUCCCAGAUUCGCACGUCUAACCGACAACCCGCAUGAAAAUUUGUGUGCAAACCUGACCCAUUUUGUAGGUUUUUUUCUUCAUUUUUAUUUUAUUUUUUGAUUUUAUUUUUUAUUUUUCUUUCCUUUCUUAAGUUUUUAUUUUAUUUUCAGUAUUUUUUAUUUAAUUUUGCUAAUUUAAAAAAAAAAAAGAAAAAAAUUUUUUUUGGAAAACAGAAAAAGCAAAAAAAAUAUAAAGAAAAAUUUUCUUCCAAAUAAGUUUAAAAAAAAAAAAGAAAUAAGUCUGAAAAAGAAAUCUUUUUCAAAUAAAUUUAUGAAAUCUACCAAACUAUUGAAAAAUUUUAUAAAUUAGUUUUUUCUUAAAGAAAAAAGAAUAAUAGAAAUUUUUUUUCCUUUAAACCAUUGAAGGAUUAUUUUUAAAUUAAGUUUUACCAAACUAUUGGGAGACUUAAUGAAAGUCACAAAACUUUUGUUAAUCUUUUUACAAUAACAUCUCAUUAAACUAUUAGGAGAUCUGCCUCAAGGUAAGUCUUACCAAAUAAUUAGGAGACUUUACUAAUUUUUUGAAUAAAAUAUUAUAAUAAAUUCGAUGACAGAGCCUCUUCAAAGUGAGAUACUAGUCUCUAUGAAAACUCUUUAGGCGAGAAAAUUAUCUGAAAUUACUACAAACUAUUGGGAUAAUUUUAAGAUUAAUUUUUAAUAUUAAAAAUUUGGUAAAUUACAAAUAUGAUCAGGGCUUGGAUAAUAUGAAAUCAAAUUGGUAUUAUCCUUUGGAUGGGCGUUAUGAGGGUGUUACAACCUUCGUUAUGUAUAACCGUACUCUCGAACCUAAAAUCUGGUUUUGCAUAUUAGAAUUUGUUUCAGGUGAUCAUCACAUCUAAACAAAAAAGAUUGAUGGUGACUCCUCUAAUCUAUAUCUAGUGAUAGGUCCAUAGAUCUAUACGUUAUGACAGUUUAAUGACUCCAUUAGGGACAUCAAGAGUUAAACCAGUCAAUGAUUACUUAUUAUCCAAGCCUUGCUUAAUAAAUUCAAGAUUAUUUUUGUCUUUCUUAUUUAUUUCUUUUCAUUGCUUACACUUAAUUAUUUAUUUAUUUCUUUUCAUUGUUUAUGCUUGCUUAAUUAUUUAUUUAUUAAUUAUAUAUAUCUAUCAUUCAUUUACAUAUGCAUAACAUAAGUUCUCCACUCGAGCUCUACCUUUGGAAGGAGUGAAGUACCUAUGCCUUCAUGAGAUUUCAUGUUUUCGCAUGGGCUUGUAAAAUACUCCCACUCAAAUUGAACUUUUUUCACUUAUAACCUAUGAUGGGUGAGGAUCAGGAUGCUUUACUAGUCUAUGAUGGACAAUGAUAUAAGGAACAACUUGAUAACCUUUUAGAGUUAACCCAAACUGCAUAUAGUUAACUUUAAAAGCCUAACUAUAGCUAGAGCCUUAUCCUUUCACCCUUCGUAGUUAAUCCAAAAUUCAAGGUCAUGCUAUUAUCUUACUUAGUAUACAGUGUUUAUUCUAUUUUUUUAUUAUUAAAGUGACUACCUAAUUUCCAUGUCUUCUAUUAUUUCUUUCCUCUUGUGCAUAUUCAUAAACAUACUUAUAGAUUGCAUAGUAUUUUUACCUUAAAAGUCAUUUCAACAAAAGCUCCCAUGGACUCCACAGAACAUCAAGUUUGCACGUCAUCUAUACUUUUCAAAUGUGACUUACCUAUAAAUGUGAAAUUAGAAUCAAAGAAUAGGUAGUAAGAAGAAGGAGAUUGUUUACCAGCUAGUCAUAUUUUUACACUAUCAAAUGAAGUUUGCCUACUCCUCAAACAGAAUGAUUUGAAAAGCCUAUCAAACAUAUGAAACAACAUGACUCCUUCAAGGUAAGAAGCUUUUUGUCAGAAGUUUAGGCAUAUAGCAUAUCUCUUAUCAGUAGAUGUUGAUAACUCACUCUUUAAGGUAAUGGUACAAUUUUGGAAUCCUUCCUACCAUUACUUUAUCUUUAAUGAGAUUGAUUUGGUGCCAACGAUAAAGAAGUGUUCAACCUUAAUGGGUAUGCAUCUAUUAUAUCUAGAUAGAAUAUAUGUAAAGAAACACAAAUCAAGAAAUCGUAGGAAAUUAGGCCAGAUUCUAAGAGUGGGAAAAGAGAUCAUAAAUUUAUGCAUUUGAGAAAAAACAGAUCAUAAGGGUAUUCCAUGGGAAAUUCUCUAAGAUUUCAUUGUUAAAAAUUCGGAUAAUGAUCAAUGAAUAAAUGUAUUCAUUCUAGCCAUAUAUGGGAUGACCAUUUUUCUUAAGAUCUUAGGCCAUAUUGAGAUAGAAGUGGUUGAUCUAUUUGAGCAUAUCAAAAAAAGGUGUAACACUUCACAACUAUCUUGGUAGAAACCAUCAGAUCUCUGAACUUUUGUAGACAAAAUGAUAAGGCAAGAUUUAUGGGUUGCAUACCAUACUAUAUCUGUGGAUGAAAAGCCAUUUUCAAAUACAAAAAAAGUGUUUUCUCCAAGCUUUAUUUUUACAGUCGAGUCCCAAUUAGGGAGUUCUUUUAGAGCAUUUGGCUAAAAGAAAAUACUCAAAAGGGCAAAAAUGUCUAUUACAAAAGUUCAUAGCUGGUUAGGUAAAAUGGCUAGCUCCGUAGAUAAACAGGGAACUUAUGUUGUAUCAAUGUGAAGAUAAAAUAAGGGUCCCACUUUUAGGGUUAUAGGGGUCAACAAGUUAUACACCACUAAUGGUAAGGAAACAAUAUGGAGCUGAAUAGUUUACUCUUAUGACUUGUAAGCUCAGCCAGUUUGACUAUUUAUAUGGGAAGCCUAGAACCUUUCAAAAGAUUAAUAGUAUGAUUAAGGCUUGGAAAAAGCUUAAGAGAGUAAGUCCUGGACCAUUUGCUAAUAAGGCCACUCAAAAAUAUCUGAUUUGAAGAACCAAAAAGGACCAAAAUGUGGCGUCUAUGCCUAAAGACCAUUACCAGCUAAUAGACCAAGAAUCAAACGAUGUGCCUCUAAAAUCAUAAUCUAAAAGGAAACAACAUGAAGUAGAAAAAGAGAAACUAAAACAAGAACUUUUGAAGCUUCAGAAAGAAAAGAAACAGUGGCAAAACAAAGCAAAAAAAUUAGAAAUCCAAGUCCACAGGAUUUUCAAGGAAUAUAGCAAGGCCCAAAAGGUUGUCCGAUAACAAGAUAAUGCUAUUAAGGAAUUGAGAGAGCUAAGACAAAAGCAUAAGAGAUUGUGCAUAUAGGUGCAGGCUAAAGAGACAAACAACAUGGAUUUGGCUUAUGAGAAUGAAAAGUUGAAAAAAGAAUGUACAUAAAUAGAAAAUAAUUAUGUUAAAGUUUAAUAAGAAAAUGAAAUGCUCUCAAAUUACAUUUUGACCCUGAAACUAAAGUUGGAUGACUAGAGAAACCACAUUAAAACACUCACAAAAAAGCAUAAAAAAUUAUCUUAUCAGGUGUGGUUCAGCAAAAGAGAAAGAUUAGGAAGACAAAAAAACAUAAAGCAUCUCAUAACUCAGAUAAGCAAAGCAGUGAUCAAGGUAAGUGAAAUGGCAGAAAAGGCUGAGGUGUUAAGAGCUUCAGUCACACCAGCAAAAGGGCAUGGAUAAAGAUUGCUAAACCUCAUUAAAGAGGCUAAAGAUCAGUAAGAGCAAGUUAGGCAUUUUUAUAAAAGGACAAUGUUAGAUUUGAUGUAAAACAGACUCCUAUAGAAUAAAUGAAAGUUUACUUUUGUUGAAAUAAAGGCAAACAUUUUUCUUUUCUUUCAUUUUUUUUCAUGCAUUGCAUCAUAUUCAUUCACUAUCAUUCAUUGUCAUGACAUGAUCACUGAUUUUAAUUCAUGGUACUAAGGUGCAAAAAUAGCUACGCAUUCAUAUAAUACUCAAGCUAAAGCCAGAAAGAUGGAGUAGGACAAGGCAAAUUAUCUUGAAAGAAUAGAAAAAGCUCAAGAGAUACUUAAAGAAAAAUUAAGUAAAAUUCUAAAAACUUUGGAAGAGGGAAAUAGAAAAAAGGCAAUAAAGGAAGAUACCUCAUCUGAAGCUAUUGAAUCUAUAUAUGCUUCAGGUUUUGGUCCAUAUCAGACCCAAACUGCCCUAAUGUUUCAACCACAAUAGCCAACCAUUCCAAAUUACAACUACUCAUAAAUGACUUAUGUACCUAAUCAUGAGAAUGUCAGAGUUUAAUAAUUUUAUUUUCAUCAAAAAGGUAGCUAGACCCAUUCAACUCUCUACUUUGGAUAAGAUAAAUGAGAAAGAAAAGUUGCAGGCAACUGUAUCUUUGGAAAAUUUUAAGAUCAAUCAAACCAUGAAUAGGAUCAAAAAAAUAUUACAGGCUGUAAAAAGAAUUGAUUUUUACAUAUCCAUGGAUGCAGUAAGGCUUUGUUUAGUACCAGACAUGGUGAUACCUCCCAAAUUUAAAGUACCAAAAUUUAAAAAUAUUAUGGUCCUAAGUGCCUCAUCACACAUAUCACAAUUUAUUGUUGCAAGAUGGUAGCGCAUGCUAGUAAGGAGAAGCUGCUCAUACAUGUCUUUCAAGAUAACUUGACUGGGUUUACUACAAAAUGGUAUGUGUAACUAGAUGAAACUCGCAUAAAGUCAUGAAAAGAUCUGACCAGAUCAUUUAUUAAUCAAUAUCACCACAUCAUUGAUAUAGCCCUUGAUAACUUUUCCUUGCAAGAAAUGGAAAAAAAAAGUAUCUAAAUCCUUCAAGUAAUAUGUCCAAAGGUGGCAAAAUGUAGCUACUCAGGUAUAACCUCCCUUGACAAAAAAAAACUAUAGUGCUAUUCAUGAGCACUCUAAAGUCGUUAUACUAUGAAAGAAUGAUAGAAAACAUGCAUAAAAACUUUGCUAAUAUGGUGAUUUCAAGAGAGAUCAUCGAAAAUGCCAUAAAAAAUGGCAAACUUAAAGGAAAGAAGUCUUAUGAAAAAGCACCUAAGAAAAAAGAGAAUGAGACUUAAGUUAUGAGUUUUAAAGGGUAAAAAUUUAGAAGCUACUCUCGGCCAACUUAUCCCACAUAUCACCACACUGUGAAUCAUACUUCCACUUCUUCUUACCAACCAAAUACAUGACUUUUUUAUCUAUCCUCACUACGAUCACCUGCCCACUUAGUCAAUAUAACAAGUAGUGCCCAACCGUGAACCAUAAAUAAGGGAAAGAGCCACAUUUGAUCCUAUACCCAUAAGCUACAUAAAGUUAUAUCAAGAGCUCUAUAAAAACCACCUUAUUGCUUUCAUUCUUGUAAAAUAACCUGAAUAUUCAUAUCUUAAAUGGUAUGAUGUCACUGCCUAUUGUGACUACUAUUAUGGAGUAAUAGGCUAUUCUAUAAAAAAAUUACCUUUUUUUUAAGUAAGAAGUGCAACAUAUGAUUAAAUAAGAGCUUAUAAGUUUUGAUACUAGUGAAAACUCAGCACCUAAUAUUAGCAAAAUUCCUUUACCUAAUUAUACAGUCAAUGCCUUGAACAAAAAUAAAAAGCACAUGGAAAAAAAGGUGGAAAAGUUUAAAAUGUCAUUCAAACAGCUGUAUGUUACUUUAUAUGAAGCUGGGUUGAUACAACUAGUAGCUUCACGCACCUAUGCAAGAAGAUGCAUCCCCAAUCAAAGAUGUAAGUAUCAUAAUAGAGUUUCAAGGCAUUCUAUUAAUAUCUAUAAAUAAUUCUAUGAUAAGGUAGAGAAACUAAUAGACUCAUACCAUAUAGAGUUAUAUGAGGAGUCAAAAGCUUCGAAAAGAUAUUAGGGUGGCUAUAACAGAUAAGCGGGUGCCAAAACCUAUCAUCAUAUGCUAUAAUGAAAAGUCACAAUCAGUUGGAAAUAAGUUUGUUCCCAAAGUAAUAGUUUUUAAAGUUCUAUGCCCAUUCAUUUACAAAGAUGAAAAGGUUGUACCAUCAAGAUAUGAUUACAAGAUGACAACCCAAAAGUAACAAAAAGUUAUGCCAAAGUCUGAAUCUGCCAACAUAAUAAAAGUAUGAGGCAUAACUAGAAGUAAAAGAUGUUAUACUCUGAAAACUUUAAAAAAAACAAGAAAAAAAAAAGAGAAGCAGACUAAACCAAAAAAAAUUUUAGAGGAAGCCACCUCAAGGUUUGUGUUAGAAAAUGAGUCUUUUAAAUUUUUAAAGCUAGUAAAAUAUAGUGAAUACUCUAUGAUGGAGCAAUUAAAUAAGAUGUCAACCAGAAUAUCUCUGCUAUCACUUCUUUUAAACUUAGAACCACAUCACAAUACCUUGCUAAAGGUAUUGAAUCAGGCUUGUAUGGCCCACAAUGUAUCUAUGAAGUAUGUUAAUCAUUUGGCAGGAAACUUUGUGGUGCCUCAUCAUAUCUCUUUCAGUGAUGAUGAGAUUUUACCUGAAGGUAAAGGGAGCACUAAUGCUUUGCAUAUCACUAUUAAAUAUAAAGGCUAUAUAAUAGCCAAAGUCCUUAUUGAUAAUGGAUAGGCUAUUAAUAUCAUGCCCAUGUCCGUUUUAACCAAGCUACCUUUUGAUAUGUCUCAUAUCCUAUGUAGUCAUUUAGUGGUUUGAGCAUUUGAUGAGACCAGACGAAAAGUCUUAGGGGAUGUUAAGUUACCCUUGUAAAUUGGAUCAUGUAUCUUCAAUAUAAAAUUUCAGGUCAUGGAUAUCUCCAUAUCAUAUAGUUGUUUAUUAGGAAGGCCAUAGAUCUAUAAGGCAGGCACUGUUCCUUUCUCACUACAUUAAAAGAUUAAAUUCAAUGUGAAAAGAUAAUUAGUGGUUGUGGCUAAAAAAGAAUAUUUAUUCGUGACACAACCUAUAAAUGCCUUAUAUGUAGAAGUGGCAGAAGAGUCAUUAGAAUGCUCUUAUCGAUCUUUUAAACCUAUCAAUGCAGUAGGUGAAGAGCUCAAAUUCAAUCAAAUUGUGAUCAAUCAAAUGAUUAACAAGGGUUAGAGUAUUGGGUUCAACUUGGGUAAAAGCCUUCAAGAAAUGAGAGAGCCUCUGAAGAUUAAAGAUAAUAAUGGUCUAUUGGGAUUAGGUUAUGAGAAGGAAAAAAUGUGAAGCAACAAUAAAAAGACAAAGAGUGGGAUGAUGGUUGCUCCCUAUCUAAAUAAAACUUUUAUUGUUUGAGAAUACAUACACCCAAGAGCUAAGAAAGAUAUAAGAAAAGAACCAAGAUGGGAGGAAGCUUUUACCAAAUUAUCCAUUCAUAUGAUGGAUAAUGAAAGUCAAAAUGAAGAAGCUUUGGUUUACCCAUGCUUACCUCGCUAUGAACUGAAAAAUUGAAGGGUCAUCUAGAUGCCUAUUGUUCCUAAUAUUUUCUCAAUGUAAUCACAUCUCUUAACUAUUUAUGCCCAAAAACAUUGGGAUAAACUCUUAUAUUUAGGCUUUUUAUUUUUUAUUAUUUCAAUAAAAGUAUAAACAUGCAUUUUGUCCAUUUCUUCUAUUCCAUUCAUUAUCCCAUCAAAGUAUCUCACCAAUAUUUCCUAUUUAAUUAACUUUUAGGUUGCCAAAUGAAUAUAAAGACAAUCAUGGCAAUGAUCUGGGGUUUAAUUUUGAAAAUUCAAUUAAUACCGAUGAACUUAAUACUAAAAAAGACUUUGAAGAAUAUACUUUGUAUUCAAAUUUAAUGAGACUAAUUGAACAAAAAGAUAAAUCCAUUGAGCCUUAUCAAGAAGUUAUUGAAAUGGUCUUCACUUCUAACAAGUUAAAGGAUCUACUGUGAGAAUUUGUAAAUGUGUUUGCCCGAUCCUACUAAGAUAUACUUGAGCUCAACACUUAAAUAAUAGAACAUAGGUUACCAUUGAAACCUGAAUGCAAAUCAGUCUAACAAAAGUUGAGAAGAAUAAAACUAGAGAUGUUAUUAAAAAUCAAAAAAUGAGUAAAAAAGUAAUUUGAUGCACGCUUUUUGCAAGUGGGUAAAUAUUUUGGAUGGGUGGCUAAUAUAGUACCUAUCCCGAAAAAAAGUUGAAAAAGUAUGGAUAUGUGUAAACUAUUAAGAUCUAAAUAGAGUUAGUCCGAAGGAUAAUUUUUUUUUUGCCUUAUGUUGAUACUUUGGUAGAUAAUACAGCCCAACAUUUGGUGUUCUCUUUUAUGAAUGGAUUCUCUAGUUAUAAUCAAAUAAGAAUGGCCUAAGAUGAUAUGAAAAAGACCACAUUUGUCAUUAUAUAGGGAAUUUUCUAUUAUAAGGUCAUGUCUAUUUUAUUGAAAAAUGCUGGGGCCAUCAAAAAACUGUUUAAUCUUGUCCUGUGGGAUUUAUAGUCAGUGAAAGAGAGAUAAAAGUUGACCUAGACAAAUUUGAGCCAUUAAGAACUUAUCCUCUCUAAAGACCAAAAAUAGGUUCGAAGCUUUUUAGGUAGAUUAAACUAUAUUUUUUUUAUUUAUUUCUUAACUCACCCUUAAAUGUGAUCCCAUCUUUAAGCUUUUCCAAAAGAAUGAUCUCGAUCAAUAGAAUGAGAAAUACCAAAAAGCUUUUGACAAGGUCAAGCAAUACUUAUCAAAUCCUUCAAUAUUAAUGCCACCUAUUUCAGAAAAGCCAUUAAUUCUAUAUAUAGUGGUAUACGAAAAGUCAAUGGGAUGUGUGUUAGAGUAACAAAAUAAUUUCAACAAGAAAGAAAAAGCUAUUUACUACUUGAGUAAAAAGUUUACGAAAUAUAAGUCCAAGUAUUCAUCACUCAAAAAGAUGUGUUAUGCUUUAAAAGACUCAGGCAAUACAUGUUAUACCAUACAACUUGGCUCAUAGCUAAACUAGAUCCAAUCAAAUAUAUCUUCAAGAAGCCAUCGCUAUCAGAAAGAAUCGCAAGAUGAAAAAUGAUGCUCUCAGAAUACGACACAGUAUAUGUAAGUUAAAAAGUAAUUAAAUGAAGCAUCAUUGCUAAAUUCCUCGUGGAUCAGGCUACUAAAGAUUAUGAACCUAUGAAACUAGAUUUUUUAAAUGAAGAAUUAAUGGCCAUUUCAAGAGUAGAAGAAGAUAAAAAUGAAGAAUGAACAUGGAAAAUGUAUUUCAACGGUGCUACCAAUGCCAUGGGGCAUAAGAUUAGAAUAGUAUUAAUAUCCCUAACAGAAUAUUACUACCUUAUGAUAGCAAGAUUAAAUUUCAACUACGUUAAUAAUGUGGCUGAAUAUGAAGCUUGUGUUAUAGGAUUGCAUGCUGCUUUAGACAAAAGAAUUAAGACAUUAAAGACAUUGAAGAUUCAGUCUUGGUUAUCUAUCAACUAAAGGGUGAAGGAAGAUAAGGGAUUCAAAACUCAUCCAUUACCACAAAUACAUCUUAAAGUUAUCUAAGCAAUUUUAGAGCAUCCAACUUGAACAUUUGCUUGAUAAAGAUAAUCAGAUAGUAGAUGCUUCGGUAACUCUAGCUAUAAUGAUGCAAAUUGAUGAUACCAUUAAAAUUCAACCCAUCAAAUUAGAUGUGAAAAAUACAUUGACGUAUUAUGCCGACCUGGAAGAAAAAGAAGAUGGUAAUCAUUGGUAUCACAAUAUUAUGCAAUAUCUAAGGAAUCAACAGUACACAAAUAAGCAAUAAAAAAUGAUAAAAGACUCCUAAAAAGAUUGGCUAUGGGAUUCUUUUUAAAUGGAAAAGUUUUGUAUAAGAGAAGUAGAGAACAAGUAUCACUACGUUGCAUAAGUGCUUCUAAGCCAAAAAGAUUAUUGGGGAAGUCCAUGAUGGCAUAUAUGGUGCACAUACAAAUGGAUACAUGAUGGCUAGAUAGAUCAUGCAAGUUAGAUAUUAUUGGUUGACAAUAAAAAAAUAUUACAUUGAUUAUGUUCGAAAAUGUCACAAGUGCCAAAUUUAUGCUAAUAAAAUUCAUGUCCCACCUACUACUCUACAUGUUAUGGCACCAAUUUAACCAUUUUCUACAUGGGAAAUGGUUGUCAUUGGUCUCAUUACCUUAAAGGCCUCAAACAAAAAUAGAUUCAUUUUUGUGAUGAUCGAUUAUUUCACUAAAUAGGUUGAAGCUACUUUUUUCAUAACUGUGACUAGAUCAGUGGUUUGCAAAUUCAUCAAAAGAGAGAUAAUCUAUAGAUAUGGACUCUUGUAGAGGAUCAUUUCAGAAAAUGCAAAAAACUUCAAUAGCAAAAUAAUGCUAGAAAUAUACGCUCAGUUCAAGAUUAAGCAUCAUAAUUCAGCUCCAUAUUGUCCAAAAAUGAAUGAAGCAGUGAAAGCUGCAAAUAAGAAUAGCAAAAGGAUUCUGAAAAAGAUAACCAAAAUAUAUAAAGACUAGCAUGAAAAAUUGUAUUUUGCUCUACAUGCUUAUCAAAUAUCUGUACGUACUUCCAUCAAGGUAACUCUAUUUUUCCUAGUCUACGGAAUGGAAGCUAUACUGCCGGUAGAGGUAAAAAUCCUAUCUUUAAGAGUCUUAAAAGAAAUGGGAUUAGAAAAAGCAAAAUGGAUUCGGGAGCGCUAAAAGUAAUUGAACUUUAUUGAACAAAAAAGACUGACAGCACUCUACCACAGCUAGCUAUACCAAAUGAGAAUGAUGAGAGCUCAUGACAUAAAGGUCUAACUUCAUCAAUUUCAAGAAAGAGAGUUGGUAUUGAAAAGAAUUCUUUCAAGCCAACAUGAUGAUAAAGGGAAAUGAACUCCAAAUUAGGAAGGAACAUAUGUUACAAAAAGAGUUUUUUCAGGAAGAGCCUUAAUCUUGUCAGAAAUGGAUGGAAAUGAGCUUCCUAAUCCUAUUAAUUUUGACGUUGUGAAGAAAUACUUCACUUGAACUAAAAAAAAAAAAAACAAAAAGUUUAAGUUGAAAACCUAAAAAGGUAGCUUGAACCAAAAAAGAAAAAUAAAAUUCAAGUUGAAAACUCGAAAAGGGUAGCUUAAACUAAAAAAAAAAAAAAGUUCAAGUUGAAAACCCCAAAAGGUGACUUAAAUGAGAGAAACUCGAAUGAGUAAAAUAUGAAAUCACUUGAAAAGCAUAACAGAUACAGUGAAUUUUAAAGAGUUUGAAGGUGUUGGGGCAUUAUGUUUUGGUUGAAUUUUUGAAGAAAUCCAAGAUUUAUUGUCAUGAUUACCUGAUUACUUAUAUUGGGGCAUCAUUAUUCUAAAUAGCUAUCCCUAUACACCUUCAUCUUGUUCCCAGCCAUCAUUUUUAAUUUAUUAUUUAUCCAAAUAAAUGAUAUUUGUCUUAUUCUCCACUUUUGAUAUAUAUUUUUCCUUUUUCUUUAUGCCUUACCAUGAAUAGAAGAAAUGCCUAACUUACAUCUCAUAUUUUGAAAUUUAGAUAAUGAUUAAUAAUUGAACAAAGUUAUAAAAAACUGUGUGUUACUUUGAGAAAAUUGAAAGAAAACAAGGACCAUGGAUGAACUCCUCUAAAUAAAAGAAAAAAAUCACUGAUUUUAAAAGCUUUCCUUCGAGUAAAUACUUGUUCAGGGUAAUAAAGGAUAGUUUUCUUGCCAAAGAUGUACAGAAAUAAGAAUACAGAUGAAAAUUGUGAAACCCUUAAUACCAUGAUGGAUGUCACAUUCGCAUCCUAGAUAGGGUAUACAUUCAUAUCAUUGUAUGAUCAUUCAUUACAGAUCCGAUCUUGAUCUAAGCCAAAUCAUAUUUAAACUUGCGACAUCGUCUCAGUCAUUAAUUUAUGACCUUGACUUUAUCUUGGUCGCUCUCAGACUCGCGGCAUCAUCUCAGUCAUCCGAUCUUGAUUCAGGUUAGAUCAUUUUAAGACUCGUGACAUCGUCCCAAUUAUUAAUCUAUGACCUCGACCCAAUUUUGAUCAUUCUCAAACUCGUAACAUCAUCCCAAUCAUCUGAUCUCGAUUCGAGUUGGAUCAUUUCAAGACUCACGACAUCGUCCUAAUUAAUAAUCUACGAUUCAGACUUGAUCUUGGUCACUUUUAGACUCGUGGCAUCAUCCCAAUCACUCGAUAUUGACUCAGGCCAGAUCAUUUUAAGACUCACGGCAUCGUCCGGGUCAUUCAUUUUUUAUCUUGAUUCGAUCUUGAUCACUUCUAGACUUGUGACAUCGUACCAAUCGUCCAAGCCAGAUUUAUGACAUCGUCUCAAUCAUUCAUCUUUGACCUUGACUCGGUCUUGGUCACUUACUGACUUACAGCAUUGUCCUAGUCAUUCAGCUUCGACUCGGUUCUGGUCAUUUUCCAACUCGCAGUUCAUUCCCAAUCAGUUUUACUUGUGAUUUGAUUCGAACAAAGUGGAUGUCUAGGUCUUUGCAUCAUCUCUGUCCAAUAGUGAUGUGCAAAAAUGGAUAGCUGUAGACACCCAUAUGUGGCCGAGGUCCAUCGCAUCAAUUUUUAUUAUUUGUUGCCACUACUUUUGCAUUACAAAACUAUUAUUAUGUUACUACUAUACUAUUAUUAUAUUAUUAUAAUAUUAUAUUAUAUUAUUAUUAUAGUAUGUUGAUAUUAUAUUACUAUUAUUAUAUUAGUAUUAUAUCAUAUUAUAGUAUAUUAUUAUAUUAUAUUAGGUUAUCAUAUUAUAGUUAUUAUUAUUAAUAUUAUUAUAUUUGAAAUUAUUAUUACUUUUAUUAUUUUUAUCAGAUUUUCUUUCCUUUUUCCUGAUCAGGGCUGAACAAAUUAUAGAAAUUGAAAUCUAAUCAAUCAGUCAAAGGCUUUAAUGCAGAAUCAUGUUUGGAUAAUGGUUGAAUUCAAUGGUGAUCAAAUCAGUGAACAAAAUCACACUCAGGCAAAAUCAAAUCCCAAAAUUCAAGCCUGGGAUUGAUUCCGUCCAUUUUCUAAAAUCUGUUCUAAGAGGGCCUAUAAAUUGAACAAGAAAUCAAAGGAAUGACAAAAAAAAAGUAGUGAAAAAGUUAGGGUUAUUAUUUUGGAAAUAAUUUUUAGGCAGUAAGGUUUUUGGAAAAUUUUGGUCUUCUGGGAUUUAGAUUCUUAGGAGUUCUGAGUUUGAUCUAGAGUUUCUAAGUUUAGAUUUGGGAUUCUAAGAUUAGGUUUAGAUUUCUGGAGGGAUUUUGGAGAAUUUGGGAAAAUAAUUUUUUUUUGUUUUGGAAAAUUUUGGAAUUCUAGAAAAACAUAUGAAGUUUUCGGUAGAAGUUUGAAGUUUUUAAUGAGAUUUUCAAAAAUUGGUGAAGUUUUCAGAUUCCAAUUAAAUCUCUAGAUAGGUUUUUAAAGAGAGGGGAGAGAGUUUUUGGGUAAGAGAGAGAGUGGGUCAAAGGUUUAUGAAACUAACCAUAAAGACUUAGCUUUUAUACUAGUCCAAAAUGACAAUGUUUUGAACACCUCAGAUCUUUUCAUCUACCCAACAACCCAUAUAAAGAUUCACGUGCAAACCCAACCCAUUUCACAGUUUUUUUUUUCUUUUUCAUUUUAUUUUUUCAUUUUAUUUUUUAUUUUUCUUUGCUUUAUUAAAUUUUUAUUUUAUUUUCAGUAUUUUUUUAUUUAAUUUUGCUAGUUUUCAAAAAAAAAAAAGAAAAAAAUUUUUUUUGAAAAAUAGAAAAAGCAAAGAAUAAAAAAAUAUAUUUUCAAAAAUUAAAAAAAAUAAGUUAAAGAAAAAAAACCUUUCAAAUAAGUUUAAAAAACAAAGAAAUAAGUCUAAAAAAGAAAUCUUUUUCAAAUAAAUUUAUGAAAUUCACUAAACUAUUCAGAAAUUUCAUAAAUUAGUUUUUUUUUUAAAGAAAAAAAAUAGAAUUUUUUCCUCUAAAUUAUUAAAGGAUUAUUUUUAAAUUAAGUCUUACCAAACUAUUUGAGGACUUAAUGAAAUUUACAAAAUUUUUAUAAAUCUUUUUACAAUAAAAUCUUAUCAAACUAUUGAGAGAUCUGUUUCAAAGUAAAUCCUACCAAACUAUUAUAAGAUUUUAAUAAUUUUUUUAAAUAAAAUAUUAUAAUAAAUUUGAUGAUAGAACCUCUUUAGAGUGGGGUAUUAGUCUCUAUGAAUACUCCUGAGGUGAGAGAAUUAUCUUAAAUUACUAUCAAACUAUUAGGACAAUUUUAAUUUUAAUUUUUAACAUUAAAUAAUUUGGUAAAUUACAAAUAUGAUCAAAACUUGAUUAAUCUGAAAUCAAACUAGUACUAUAUUUUAAAUGGGGGUGCUAUAACAUUUUUCACAUGUAAUCAUACUCUCGAAUUUAAAAUAUGAUUUAGCAUAUCAAAAUCUGUUUUAGGUGGCCAAUCACACCUAAACAAAAAGAUUGGUGGUGACUCCUCUAAUCCAUGUCUAAUGGUAAGUCAACGAAUCUAUACGUUAUGACAAGGGUUUUUGAAUUUUUGGUUUUAUUUUAUUUUUUGAGAUUUUUUGCCUUGGUUUUUUUUUUUUUUUUGGAAUUGGGAUUCAAUCUCUUGUUUGAUUGGAUUUCUAUUAGGUUUCUAAGGAUUUUGGAUUCAAGUUUUUGAAUUUUUUUUAGAUUUUUUGAAAUUUUCUUUGAAUUUUCCUAUAAGGGGUUGAAGUUCCUAGCAACUAGCGUUAAAAAUCUCACUAGCUUCUAAAAUUUUUUCGCUAGAUUCUGGGUAACGUUGAAUUUACCGUUUGAAUGUUAGAAAAAGAAACAGAGAAAAAACGGUGUUAAAGAGAAAAGAUUCCAAUGGUUCUGAAAUGAAAAGAGGAGAUUUAGGGGUUUCUAUUCUUGUAUAAAACAACACUAUUUUUUGGAUUCAUAAAAACUUGGGAUCCGUGCAUUUUGCCACAUUCCAACCCAACCACUAGUAUGAUCUAUUCUUCAACCCGAAUUUCUUUUUUGCUUUAAGUCGAGCCAUGCCCUAGUUGAGUGUUAGUCACGUCGAUCCCUGUGCUUGCAGCUACAUUCUUCAGUUGCUAAGCCAAGUCGACUCGAGGUAUUUUUUAUAUGCUUAUCUUAUUUGUUUGUUUUAUUUAUUUAUUUAUUUAUUUAUUCAUUUAUUUAUCUACUUGUUUUUUAAAAUACCUUUACAAAAUCAUAUUUAAAUAAAAAAGCCUUACUAAUAGAUUGCAGAGCUAAUAUUUUAUUUUCAAAAUAAAGUUUUAUCAACAUAUUAGAAUGCUUUACAAAUUUUAAUUUAAAAAAAUAAUUUUUAAGAAAAGCUUUACCAAUUUAUUGAAGGGCCAAUAUUUUAUUUUCAAAAAUAAGAUUUUAUCAAUAUAUUGGAAAGUCUUAUAAUUUUUUAUAAUUUUGAAUAAAAUAAAAUAAAAUAAUAUUUUUUUUCAUAAAAUCCUACAAAUAUAUUGGAGGAUAAUUUUUUAUAGAAAAUCUUACCAACGUAUUGAAAGAUAUUUUUUACCAUAAAUUAGGUUUAUAAAAAUUUACUUCUACAAGCAAAAUUAAAUGAAUCUGAUGGUGAAACUUUUUUAAACCGUGACAAAUAGUCUCAUUGAAUACUCUUAAAGUGAGAAAAAUUUCUAAAUUAUUACCAACAUAUUGGAGUAAUUUAAAGAAAAUUUCUAAUGUUAAAAUUAUUUGGUAAAAUUAUAAAUAUAUUUUAAGGCUUGAAUAACUUAGAAUCAAAUUAAUACCAUCUUUUAUAUGAGCGCUGUAAGGGAUAUAAUAUUUCUUACAUGUAAUCAUACUCUCGAACCUAAACUUUGGUUUCAUAGACUAGAAUCUACUAUUUAAAGAUACUUAAGUUAAUCUUGGGAUUCUUUUUUAAAUAGGACAAAUUUAGUCAGGUGGCUAAUCACAUCUAAAAAAAAAGAUUAGUGGUGACUCAUUUAAUCUAUGUCUAGUGAUAAAUCCACAGAGCUAUUCAUUAUGAUAAAACUCAAAUCUCAACAUUUACAACUAUUUUUCAUAUUCUCAAAUAGUCUCCUUAAUUAAAAAAAAAAAAAAGUAGUCUAAAGAAAAAAUUAAGUAUGCUUAAUUUGUUUGAAUUGUUAAGUUACUUUGUUCUAAGUUUUAAAAUUUUUAACUUCUUUUCGUAUAUGUUAAGAUUUUAGGUUAUAUAAUCAAAGACAAGUAAUUUAUGUUCAUAUUUCAUAUAAAAAUCAUUUUUGAUUUAUAAGAUUUAAAUUUAAAUUAUAAUUUCAAAUUCUUUCUAAUAAUUAGAUAAUGUAAAAUCAAGAUAUAUUUAAAUUUAUGCUUUAUUCUUAUUAUUAACUUCUUUAUUAUUAGAAUAAUUAAUCUAUAUAAGUAUAUGCCAUAUAUAUUCAUAUCGAUAAUAUCUUUUAUAAAAACAAGAAAAAUUAUCAUCAAAGAAGAAUCAAAGCAUGUGCAAGGAAUAUUGAACAUAACAAUUUGCCUAGUACAAACAGUUAGAGAAGCAUUUCUAAAAUACAACAUGUAUAGGGUUUAAAAGAAUAAAACUUUGACAAAUAGGUUUGGUUUUUGUUUUAAUAAUUAUAUUUAUUUAUUUUGCGGACAAGUACAUGUAAAAAGUGAGAUAUGUUAAUUUAAAAUUUAAUUCAAUUAAUUUUUAAAAUUAUUUUUAAAAAAUAAUAUUCGAUUAAAAUUUAAAUCUCAAUACUUAUAUUUUUUUUCUUUUAUUUCAAAUAACUUUUUUUAAAAAGAAAAAAUGAGUCAUGUGCAUUUUUUUUGUUGGCUUUUUAUCAUUUGUUAAUCUAUCUUUGGUCGAACUUUUCUAUAGUAUACUAUUAAUUUAAUAACCAUCACUUCGCUUAAAUAAUCUUAACCUUACAAUUAAAGAGGUAAAACAUUUCCAUUGAUAAGAACUUACUUAAGAAACUUCUUGGUCAAGAAAAUAGUAAUCUCAAAUGUUAAUCAUGAAAUUAAAUCAUUAAUCCUACUAUAUAAUUCGUCCAAUAUGAUCUAAUCUGAUUGGAACAUAUAUCUAAAUUUAAGUAUAUGUGCAAAAAAAAAUAAGCAAAUGAUUCUUAAGUGAUGAAAAAACUUAUGUAAUUUAAAACUUAACUCUGUUAAUUCAUGCAUAUAGUUUUUUUUUAGAUGAUAUUUAAUAAAUUUGAUAUUCAAAUUUUAAUACUUUUUUUCAUUUCAAAGCUACAAUCUUCUUUUAUAACAACAAAAAAAAAAAAACUAAAAAUAAUCUGUUAUCUGUAACUUUAAACUGAUGAAUUUAAAUUGCUAAGACUUUGCAGUCAUAUUUUCAUUGGCAAAGUUUAUUUACAUUUAUUUCAAAAGUAGAGAAAAAAAGGCCAUUUGGCCUAACAAUCAAUAUCCUUUUGAGCAACUUCGCAAUAGAUAAGCAUUGGCCCCCGAUCUGCCCAACAACUAAUCUACUGAGGAACUGGCAGAGCUUGAGGCAAGGCUUGGUUUGAUGCUGAAAUCGUUUGCAGUUUGCAGUCAACAGAGAUUAAUUGAGCAGAGUUAUCAUUAUUUUCCUCAACAGAAAUCAUGUUGAUUAUUUGUAGCAAAACACGCUCGAGCUCUUCACCAUCACUCCAUUCAUGAAUCUCAGCCUUGAUGAGCAAAGGGUUCCUGCAAAUUAAAUCCCAGACUGGAAAAUUCUUCCUUGGCAUCAUGUAGUCUGCUUAAGGCUUGGGCAGUAAUCUCCGGCACCAUCUCCUAGGUAGAUGAUUUUUUUCUUCCCCUCUAAGAAUCCUUUCAAUGAUCAUCCCCUGCUACACAAAGCAGAAGCCAAAAUUAAAAUUUUUGACAUCUUAUUUCAUGAUUUUCAUUAAAUUUAUAUGAUUGUUGACCCAUGUCAAUAUCUUGGGUUUCGUUUAUGUCCUUAUACGAGGCAUUACUUUAACAGAAUAAGUGGGAUCAAGAAAAGAACUUGAAAUAUCUAAAAUGAGGAGAUUUAAAAAAUAAAGAAAUAAAAAAAACCUCCAAGCUAGUUGGAUGAAAUUGACUAUGUACGUGUGGAAUACCAUCAAGUGAUAAAAUUUUCUAGAAAUUUUCACUUAUAUGAAAAAUCUAGGUCUUCCUACAAAACUUUGGUGUCUUGAUUUAAAAUAUUUACAAUUGUGAUAUUAAUGAAAUUAAAGCUCAUGUUACUGAUGAAAAAGAUAUGAUACCUUGCACAUAUUUGGAGGACAGAGGUUGCAGCCGUGGGAACUCUUUGUGAAAUCAUGGUAAGGGAUGAUCCUCAGCCUCCCUUCUUCAUCAACAAAGCUGGGGUUGUGUUGAUCUCUGAGAAAUAUUUCCUUAAUCCAAGAUGUUCCAGAAUUGUCUCAAUGAAGAACAUGUUCGCAUCACUCACAAUCCUGAGUUCACACCUGAAAAAAUAUUCAAACCAAUUUGAUCACCUUAAAUUUCUAUUGCUUCAAACUGUAGUUUUUAUAGUCACAGGUCAAAUACCAAGAGGAGAAGCAUAGAAAAAAAAGAGUACCCUAAAGAAUGAGCUGAUUUAAUAGCGGGGACGAUCCUAGGAUGGAUAGGAGCUAUUUUCAGAACCUCAGCAAUGUCAUCAAUGGUUUUUCCCUGGGCAUGAAGCUCCUUCAUCAUCCUGUCUGUAAUUUUAUACCACAAACACUGAGUUUCAAUUUUUACUAAUGUAAAGCCAACAGAAAGAGAAAUUGUAGAGGGCUUAAUACGGGUUACCAUGAGAGAAUUCCAGGGCAUGGUAGGAAGAAGCUGGUUGAACAAGUCGGUGAAACCCAAGUCAUCGACAACCCAGUUAUCACUAUCACCGUCGAUGAUGGUUUUGUCAAAAUCAAAAACCACAACAAUUCCAGCCAUCUCUCUGAAUGAAAAUCAAACAAAAGACAAAACAAGAAUGGAAAAACUCGACAACUCUUUGAAUGUUGUUUUCUUGGUAUAGAAUCACGUAACAGGGGAGGGGUAUUUAUAUGCAGAAAAAUGUUAUUAGGUUUAAACAAUGAAUUUUUUUAUGCCAAAGGAAUAUUACGUGAAGGGGUUAUAAGGUGUAAGUAGGAAGCACCAAGCAGGCCACAAAAAGCCGUUUUUCCUGCAAGCUUCCUACGCAACACAUACUAAUCUGAUACAACUGCUUGUAAAUUAUUUCUCUGGUAUAAGCAAUAUUAACCGUUUGAUGGAUGACUUUUGAACCAGUGAUCAAUCAAGUUUAGUCAGCGGAUCAGGGGUAAAAGGGUGUCGGUUAAUUAUGAAAGGGAUUAGGUUUUAGGUUUAAGGUUUAAGGUUUAUCAAACUCCUCUCCAUUGCUUCAUUCGCAUACUUGUGCCUUUACUAGCCUCCUGUUUUUGCAAAUCAAAUCCCAAACUGGGAAAUUCUUCCUUGUCAUUAUAUAGGCCCCAUCUCCCAGCUUCAAACUUGGACAGGAAUCGCCAAGCCCAUAGCCGAGGUAGAUUAUUGUUUUCUUCUCCUCCACGAGCAUGAGAGAGACUUGGAUCCUUUCAGUCACAAUACCCCAUUAAGAAAAGAGUUCAAUCAUUAGUCAAUAGGAUGGGAAGAAAAUGAAGAUAACUUAAAAAUAAUUAGUAGCAUAUAAUUAUAUAUCUUACAGCUAAUCAUGCUUUGGAUUCAUUACGUGUACUAAACAUUAGAAUUCAGUCAAGGAUGCAUAUGGUAUAAUCGGGUAUUCAUGUACGCCUCCAAAGAUUCGAAAACAAAAGAUGUUUUCUUUGGACGCCUUCAAAUUUUGUUUUGGAGACCUUCAAAUUUUUCUUUUGAACAUAUCUUUCUUAAUUCCUUAUUCCUUAAUCCUUCACUUACUGCCACUAUCUAAUAUCCAAUCACAUCUCACAGCCAGUUAAUGCCCAACACCUAGUAAACAUCCACUAAUAAAUGGACACCUCCAUAAAAAUAUCUUGCAUCUGCUACCGUUAGAAUUCAGUCAUAUUUGAUGCAUGCAUGCAUGGUUCACGUUGUUAGUAACUAGUAUGAUUUUCAAGUUAAAAAUGACAUACCUUGCACAUGUUUGGAAGGCAGGGAUGAUGACAUCCAUGAGUAGAUUGAGUGAAAUCAUGGUGAGGCAAGAUCCUUAGCCUGCCUUCUUCAUUUACGAAACCUGGGUUGGUAUUGAUCUCUGAAAAGCAUUCCCUCAGGCCAUGAUGCUUCAAAAUUGUGUCGAUGAAGAACACCUUCGCAUCGCAUACAAUCUUCGAAUCACACCUGAAAUUAAUAAUGCCAUACGACUUUUUUCUUUUCUUUUUUUUUUUUCGAGCGAGAAAACCAGAAAGAAAAAUUAAAUAUACAUGCCGGCAGGACUGAAGUUGGCAAGAAGGAAACUCCUAAAGCUAAGAAAUGUUGCCAGAGAGCUUAUUAAGUGUAUGGUCCUUUAAUUACUUCUUGCACAGAGGAAUAAUAUCACAGGCUGCAACCCCUCAGAAUGCAACUGUGGCAUCUGCUCUCUCAACAGACGAUUGGACUCAAUAUCUCGCUACUUCUCUACAGAUGAGGGAUAUGCAGCAGAUGUUGGCUGGUCUGACCUUCACCGAAGAAGAAGAUGUUGUUGGCUGGCAUCAAAGUCCGGCAAGUUCAUACUUUCAAAUACAUGGGACUGGAUCAGGUAUAGGCAACCCACUGUGGUUUGGCAUAAAUUGGUCUGGAUUCCUCUUCACUCCCUAAACAUAGUUUUAUCGCUUGGCUUGAGGUUCUUAAUAGAUUAAGCACAGUAGCUAAUAUUAGGAGUUAGUGUACUCAAAUGUCAAAAAUCACUUGCUGCUUUUGUGAUAAAGAGGAGGAGACUAAGAAUCAUCUUUUCUUUUCUUGUGACUUCUCAAAGCAAGUUUGGCAAUUAGUUUUAGCAAAAGUGAAGUGUGUUUUUGAUUGCAACAUCCAAAAGUGGCAGCAGGAGCUUGAUUGGAUUAUUCGGCAUACCAGAGGUAAAACUUUUAAGAUUGUAAUUUUGAGAGGAGCGUGAACAACAAGUAUAAAUAUAUCACAUAUGCCAUGCGAGGGAUUCUCCAUAACUUGGCAUUUGUUCUCCAAACGUUGACAAAUACUUUCCCAGACAUUAGUUUUAAUGUAAAGUUUUGCGUUUUAAAAUUUGUAAAAAGAUAUGAAUAAUCCAUCUAUUAGCUCUGUAUGUAAAAAAUUAAAGGAUUGUAUAGGAAAUGCUAAGGCUUAUUCUUUGAUUUGUGGACUGGUAGCCUCCUACUUCUUUGGACCAAUGAAAUACCAUUUAUGACAAAAAAAAAAAAACGAAAAUAUACACGAACAGAGAGAAAAAUGUAUACAUAGCCCAAAGCAUGAGCGAUUUAAUGGCUUGGAUGAUUCGGGGAUGUAUUGGAGUUGUUUUUAGAACAGCUAUAAUGUCAUCAAUUUUUGUUCCAUGUGAAUGAAGUUCUUUCAUUAUUAGAACCUGUUUUGUACAUAAAAAAAUUAAGCCCUGGUUCUUAAGUUUGGAAAAGAAGGAAAAAGAAAAACAAAUAAAUUAAAAGACUAACCAUAAAAGAGUUUCAAGGCAUGGUAGGGAGGAAUUGAUUGACCAACCAUGUAGCACGUCUGAGAUAUAUGAAACUUGGAAUUCAGGUUAAUUGAUUUAUAAAAUUAUUUUUAAGAGAUGAUAUCUAACUGAAACUCAAAUUUCAAUAUUUACAAUUAUUUUUCAUAUUUUCAAAUGGUCUUCUUAAUUAAAAAAUAAUCUGUAGUAAAAAAAUUAUGUACGCUUAAUUUGUUUGAAUUGAUAAGUUCUUUUGUUAUAAGUUUUAAAAUUUAUAAUUUUUUCUUUUAUAUGUUCAGAUUUUAAGUUAUAUAAUCAGAGACAAGUAAUUUGCAAUCAUAUUACAUAUAAAAAUUAUUUCUGGUUUAUAAGAUUUAAAUUUAAAUUACAGUUUCAAAUUCUUUCUAAUAAUUAGAUCAUGUAAAAUUAAGAUAUAUUAAAUUUAUGUUUUAUUCUGAUUCUUAACCUCUUUAUUAUUAGAAUAAUUAAUCUAUAUAAGUAUAUAUCAUAAAUAUUCAUAUCCUCAAUGUCUUUUAUACAAGUGAGAAAAAUUCUCGUCAAAGAAGAAUCAAAGCAUGUGCAAGGAAUAUUGAAUAUUGAACCUUUGGAAUUUGCCUAGUACAAUCAGAUAGAGAAGCAUUUCUAGAAAGCUGUAUAACAUGUAUAGGGUUUAAAAGAAUAAAACUUUUGACAUAUAGGUUCGGUUUUUGUUUUAAUAAUUAUAUUUAUUUAUGCUACAAUCUAGUACUUGCAAAAAAGAAAUUUAUUUUAAUUGAUUUAUGAAAUUAUUUUUAAAAAUAAUAUUUUAUUAAAAUUUAAAUCUCAAUACUUAUAUUUUAUUUUUUUAUUCCAAGUAACUUCUUUUUAAAUAAAAAGAGUCAUUUGGAAAUUUGUUUAGACUUUUUAUGAUUUGUUAAUCUACCUUUGGUCCAACCUUUCUAUAGUAUAUUAUUAAUUUAAUAAUCACCCCUCGGCUUAACUAAUCUUAACCUUGCAAUUAAACAGUAAAACUUUUCCAUUGAUAGGAACUUCCUUAAGUAACUUUUUGGUCAUGGAAAUAGCAAUCUCCAUAUUGAAAUGUUAAUCAUGAAAUUAAAUCAUUAAUCUUAUUACAUAAUUCGCCUAAUAUAAACUAAUUUUAUUGGAAUAUAUAUCUAAAUUUGAGUAUAUAUGCAAAAAAAAAAAAAAGAUAAAUGAUUUUUAAAUGACGAAAAAAAUAAAAUAAUCUUUUAAUUCAAAAUUUAAUUCUAUUAAUUUAUGCAUAUAAUUAUAUUUAAAAAAUAAUAUUUAAUAAAUUUAAGAUUUAAAACACGGCACCUUCUCCCAUUCCAAAGUUACUAGCUCUUUUGUAAAAAUAAUAAUAAUAAUCUGUUCCUCGUAAUUUUAAACUGAUGAAUUUAAUUUGAUAAGAUUUUGCGAUCAUAUUUUCAUUGAAAAAGUUUAUUUACUUUUAUUUCAAAAGUAGAGGGCAAAAAAAAGGCCAUUUGGCCUAACAAUCAAUAUCCUUUUGAGCAACUUCGCAUUAGAUGAGCAUUGGCCUCCGAUCUGCCCAACAACUAAUCUACUGAGGAACUGGCAGAGCUUGAGGCAAGGCUUGGUUUGAUGCUGAAAUCGUUUGCAGUUUGCAGUCAACAGAGAUUAAUUGAGCAGAUUUAUCAUUAUUUUCCUCAACAGAAAUCAUGUUGAUUAUUUGUAGCAAAACACGCUCGAGCUCUUCACCAUCACUCCAUUCAUGAAUCUCAGCCUUGAUGAGCAAAGGGUUCCUGCAAAUUAAAUCCCAGACUGGAAAAUUCUUCCUUGGCAUCAUAUAGUCUGCUUCUCCAAGCCUUAGACUCGGGCAGUAAUCACCGGCACCAUCUCCAAG